rnacentral:lncRNA from 1 species
AUAACUACAGAGUAUACACUGUAACAACAUUUAUACUUGCAGGUAAAACAAGGGGGGCGACACCACGGUAAAAACAGUUUUCGGACCUCUGAUCCAAGUUGCUUGAAAUGUAUGUAAUUCAUGUAUACCCGUAUACAAACAUGUAUACCGCCGAAAGAAGAAGAAGAAGAAGAAGAAAACAGACAUCAGGGACUCUUACAUCGAUGUACAAUUCUUGGCCUUAACACGACGAUGAACACCUAUGUUACGCAGGGACUUGCUUGCUCUACCGGCCACCCCCUCUGCCUCCUUGGCCGGUUUAGGGGACAGAAGAGAGGCUCUUAUUACACAGAACGAAUCAAUAAAUAAUGGAAUGGCACGAGAGGAAUUACAAGGUGAAAAGGAACAGUCGUCGUCGGUGAUGGUGUGAUGUGAUGGCGAUGAUCGACUCGAGGAGGUGACGCAUGGAACGGUGACUCGGUGAUGGUGAUGGUGAUGAUGCUUCGAGGUUAUUGUCUGUCUGGAACUGGAAGUAUACUGAUGAUCCAUGGUGCUGAGCGCCUAUUGAACCAUGGCGAGGAAGGAGCUCGCGGGGGUCGAUGUCGGCGCUGCUGUCGCCGCGGUGGUUGGCGGUGGAGGCGCAUUGUUGGUGCCGACGGGGUUUGGCCUCUGGAACUGUAUCCUGUACUGCAUUUUGCCGUCGUCCUCGCCGUCCUCGCCGUCGUCAGUGUAGUCAUCGCCCAUGUCGUCGCUGUCGGUCUCGUCCGUCGUGAACUCCCGGUGCGGCUGCUCGUUCAGCUCCCUCACAGCGUCUUCUGGCUUUACGGCAAGCGCAUAUCCGGUUAGUUUCCACCCCAAAAACAUCCAUCGAGAUCGAGACUGAUCGAGCUCAAACACGCUAGGCUGCAAGGUAAAAAUGGUGUGCGCGAUUACCUUUUUUACGCCCAGGUCGAACGUGGCCGUCGUCGGCGUUGUCUGCCCGUUGCUUGUCGGCACCUGCGCGGCUCCGACUCCUCCGUUGUUCCUCUUGUCGGUGUCGUUGAUCUUCUUCCCCUCGAUCUCGAUCUCGUGCCGGUUCAGGUUCUGAUGCUCCGCGACGGCAGGGACAGACACGACGGCGUUGUUGGCCGCGGCGCCGCUGCUGCCGCUGCCGUUGUGCUUCUUGCGGUAGAUGGCCUCGAGCUGGUGGAAGUACGGGCAUGUCUUGGAGUCCUCCGGCCGCCUCUUGUUGCUCUCCUUCACCUUCUUGAAGUACUUGUUGAUGUUCUCCCACUUCUCCUUGCACCGUUUGGAGUUGCGGCUGUAACCCAGCCGCCGCAUCCCGGCGGAGAUCUCCUCCCACAGCGGGCCCUUUGGUCCGUUCUCCUGGUAGCGAUUGUCCAUGUCCAUGCGGAGCUGGAUAAGCGCGUGCACCUCCGUCUUGGGCCACCGUGACGACGACGGCCCCCCUCCGCUCUCCCCUCCUCCCAGACCAGCGGCCUCGACGACGUGCUGCUCCGUGGCGACGGGAACCAGCGCGAGUGAUAAGCCGGCAGAAGUCGGGGCCGGUGCGCUGCGGGGCGUUCCGGCCUCUUCGCGCGUCGUUUCCUUGUGCUGCGGUGGUUGCGGCGGCGGUUGCUGUUGGAGCGGCGCAGCUGGGAUGGGUUGCGGCUGCGGCUGCGGCUGCGGCUGCUGUGUGGCCUGUGACGGCGGCGGUGGCGGCAGGUGCUGCCGAGGUUUCUUUGGCGGUGGCGGGGUCUGGACCUGCAUCGGCGUUGGCAUGGGGAUGACGACGGGUGGGACAUGCACGGUCUGACCACCGAUGCGCUGGAGGAAGGCGAUGAUGGAGGCAUCGCGGGAAGCUGCCGCGGCGCGCUCCUGCGCGAGCUGCUCCUGCUCGCGGUUAAGGCGGGCCACCUCCUGCCGGCGCCAGGCCUCCUCCCGCUCCGUGCGCUCGGCCUCCCUCUUCUCCAUGGUCUCCAGGAACCGCUGCUGCAUCUCCUCCUGCCUCUGUACGACCUGCUUCAUCAGGCCCUCGAAGAAAGCCAUCAUCUUCUUGCUGCCGCCGCCGCCGCGCUUGCGCUUGCCGAGGCCAUCCGGGCUGCCGCCUGUCUCGGCCGUCAUGUCGUCAUCCUCGGAGUCGUCGUCGUCGUCCGACUCAGAGUCGGACAUGGACGGGAAGCUGAGGCCUUGCAGGCUGACAGGCAGCGGAUGGGGAGGCUCCACGACCGGCGCAGGGGCCGCCGAAGAUAUAGGGGCCGGCUGCAUCGGCCCCGGCGGCGGCGGCAUUGCGCUCAUCGGCUGGGGCGCCGAGAAGGCGUGCAUCUGCGGCGGGGGGGCUGCACUGACGACCAGCGGCAAGUGCUCCUGCUGCUGGUGCUGCGCGGCUGCGGUGGCGGCGUGCAGCGCCUCGAGCUCCUGGAAGAAGCGGUAGCUCUUGCCGUCCUGCCGGCCGGCCCGGCCCUCCUUGGUGCGCUUGUAGUACUUGUGCACGUUCUCGAACUUCUCCUUGCACUUCUUGGCGCUCCUCUUGUAGCCCAGCUCCGCAAGCUUCCUGAGAUCAAAUCAAGACAGAAACGGAAGGUUAAUUACUCGCGUUGCGUGGUACGUACUAGAAUCAAUCAAUCUAUCAACCAAAGGACUGAAAGCAAGAGAAACAGAGCGGAUUAAAUGAGCAGCGGUGCGUUUACAGGAGGAGGAAGAAGAAGCUUCGAGUGUGUGUUUUCUCUUUUUCUUCCUCUCCGGGCCGACGAAAGAGACAAGGAGAGGGAAGGACGAGAGAGAGGGCAAGGAAGGAAACAUAUAGGCAGAAUGGGAAUUAGUUAACCGCGGGCCAUCUCGUCUUUUUAGGGAUGAGAGGGGAAUUGAAGUGGAUGGCAGUAGAAAAAUGAGGGGAAGGGGAGGGAAAUAAACAAAGGAAGAUGAGUGAGGCCGCAUUGGGAUGGGAGAGAAAGGCUGCCUUCCUUCUUUUCCCAAAAACUGAAAGCGAAAAACAGUGGCAGACUGCGCCUGCAGCCUGCCUGCCUGCGCCUGCCCCUGCCCCUGCACUCACACCGUGGUACGAACGAUCCCCAGGAGCCCAGAUUCUUACCACCACCCUACGCCUACCCAGCCGCUGAAACCGAGGAGCAUUUGAUUAGAUCGGCCAGGAAAGGCAAGGAAAACUGCGAAUUCGAGGGGAAUCGCUGGCGGUAACAACGGCGCAUAAUUUGCCAUCAUUUCAUGUGGAACCAUUCCAUUCCAACCAGCGCUAAAUUCCACGAAACCGUUAGCCGCCUGCGCGACGGGAAAUCAUGCCCAGGACAAGAUGCCGCUGCGGUGAAUUGCGAAAUGCGUGUGGAAAUUACAGUACCGAGUAGAAUUUUACUCUCUCUCUUACCUGGAGACCUCCUCCCAGAGGGGGCCCUUGAGGGUGGCGUCGCGGAAGGUGGUGUCCAUCUCCGACCGGAUCCUGAUGAGGGCCAGCGUCUCCUCCCGCGGCCACCGGUUGCCGCCCGACCCCAGCCCGCCGGCGCUGUGGCCGCCGGAGUCGCCCAGCAUGUCGUCGUCGGGGAAGCUGCUUCCGCCGGCGCCCGACGCGGCGGCCAAUUCCUGUUCGUAGCUCGGCUGUGGCUGCUGCUGCUGCGUCGGCGGUGGCCGGACGCUCAGCGGCACCGGGCCCGGAGCCGGCUGCGCGGAGAACGGCCCCAUGUCCGCCGGCGGCGGCGCCCCGUACUGAGACCCGCCACCCUGGUGGUGGUGCUGAUGCUGCUGCUGCAUGGAUGAUGCCGCCACGGCACCACGGCCUCUCCUCCGCCUUGAACGCGCGCUCUCAAAUUGUCCGGCGGGUACCAAGCUAGCAAGGAAGGCGAAAUCUGUAUGUGCAACAGGUGGUUGGCUGUAGAACUGUGUGGAGCAAUCGAGAGGGGGAAGGACUGGUGAAUUGUAGGGAAUUAAUUGUGGUUUCUGGGCCGUCUAGCUCAUCUCCUUCCUCUCUCUCGCACACACACCGAGUGAGUGUGGUGUGGGCGGAGAGGGAGAGGGAGGGAGUAGAAUUGGAGGGAGAGGAUGAAAUAGGAAAAGGAGCCCUGGUGGUACAAGUAGGGGAGGGGUGGGAAGGGAAGGGGAGGUCCGGAGGAGGAGGACGCUGGCUGGGGCGGGGAGGGGAUGGGAGCGAGCGAGAGGAUGGUGAAAAAGAGUGGGGGGAGCGUGGACAACUGGAAAGGGCCCAAAGAGUGUAAGAAAGAGAGGGUGAGGGGGUGGGAGGAGAGAGAGAGGAAGCUAAGCUAGGCAAAGGAGGAGAAAAAAGAGAGGGAAAGUAAGGGGGUGCCCCUACAAAAGGGAGGGCUGCUGGUGCCUCUACUGAUUGAUCUCUAGUUCUCUACCCUACGGCCCUUCCUCCCUCUCCCACCAAGAACCGAAGCGCAACCAAACUCCACCGCAGUAUACGUAUACGUACCAGAUGUAUGUAUGAUUUUUUGCGGACUUUGUGUGCGCCGACGACGCCGUUUGUUACGGGGGCGGUGGCGUUUUAUAGCGGCUGGUCCAGGGCCAGGGCCCGGCCUGGGCCUGGUGAGGCGAUAGAUAGAUAUGGGGAGAUUAAUGAGCCGGGCAUGGGGACAAAAGAGGGAGGGUGCGGACUGCGCAGGCGGUGAAACGGAAACGCCUGCAUGGGUUGAGGCCUCACCGGACACGUGUGCGGCCCCCCGGGCCGACGUGGCGCGGCCGUGCGGGGACAAGUGCGCCGCGCUGACAUCGCCCUCCUCCGCGUCCGAGCGCGGCACAUGACACACUCACUCACGCCGCGCGCAUGCAUGCAUGCAUGCAUGGGCGCCCAGCAGCCCCGCGCGCCACCGUGCCGCAUACGCGAUCAAUAUGUCUCUCCCCCCUCGCGGAAUACGGUGGAGAUAAAGUUUUUUUGUAGAUAGAAACGGUGGAGAUAGAGUGACUGGAUAGGUAUAUCUCCUAGCCCACUUUCUGUCUUGGAGCUAGGCCGAUGUAUUUUGUGCUACUCCAGUAGUAGAAAAGAUUUGCCUUUGCGUGCAUGCCGGCCGCGUGCCCGCGUGCAUGGACAUCCUCUCACAGCGUACGUGUUGCCGCGCUGCAUGCAUGGCGUGCCGUGUCGUGCUCGGGCCGAGCGAGCCCCUCCCUCUUCCGACCCGCCGGAUGGGCAGGCCGGCGCCCCUUGUAUCUACCCGCCGCGGGUCGUACCGAGCCCAGACGCGCCUCGUCACUGUGUCGGCAGGUUCAAUGCGCGCGCGCGCGUGGUGAAAAACGUACUGCAUGCGGCGCAGGUUGGCGCCGCUGCUCCACAAUUAAUAACCAACUCGUCGUCUAGUUCAAGAUAGAUAGAUAGAUAGAUAGAUAUCGCGCACUAGUUCUGCGGAUUUCUGCAUUAGUCUGGCAAGAUAUGCGCAUUUGUUUUGCGCGUUCGGUCACUAAUCUGGUAUGAUAUGCGUAUCCUUUUUCCCGAUCUAUACUCGGCUGGCUAGAUCUACGUAUUUAUGUGCAUGCGAAGCAUGCCCGCGUGGUUGGUCUGGUUAGGCAAUUAAUCACCGCACCCGCGUCGUGAAUGAACCGAUCGAUCUAAUCAUCUUGCUGCCGCUGUAGCUAUAAUUUCGACAACGGAGAAUUAAUAGUGGCUUAUACAUAAAAAUAAGCAGAGUGUAAAAAUAAGAGAGUAUGAGCCCUGGACGCUAACGGCUCAAAACGGGAUAGUACAUCGGUGCUGGGCCCCGGGCGAAACGAACGGUUCUGAAUUUCUGAUGAGGUGUGGACGCCGCCGCUGUACAACAGCAUGGUUGGUGGUGGGCCGAGUACCCUGUAGGCCCACAGUAGCAGUAAAAACUGUCUUUUUUACUUCCACAUCUGUUGCUAAAAAACACUGUUUCUCAAUAUGCAUUCAGACAAACUAUAAAUGUACAAAUUAAAGGCACUCCGUUUAUACCCGUACUACCCCAUACAUAAUCAGACGUGUACAGUGCUGUACAACUGCACAUGUGUCCGGUAUACUAAUAUUACGGUAAAAUACCACUUGUUGAGGCCCACCGCGGCCUGUGUUUUUAGAUUCCAUUGGAAGCGUCCCGCAGGGCUCACAUGUCAACCAGUAAUCAUGUUUGCAACUCUGGCACGUAUCAAAUUAGUUGCAUUUUUGUAUCAAUAUGUGAAAAAUAGGACGAUCUGUGUGUGUAUAUACUACAAGGAUAAGCUAGGCGAUCAAUCAAUAAUUACAAGGAGUGUGGACGAAGCAACAAAAAAUAUGCAGUACAUGUCUUGGUUGAAAAUUUCACACCCAACCACCCGGCCGCCACUGCUAAUUAAUUAUUUGUGACUACCACAAGAAAAAUAUACUAUGCCCGUGGCCAUCAAUAAUCGAAGCAUCAGGCUAACUGUUUAUUUACUGCAAUGAAAAACCUAUCUAUUUGGACCACGAACAGAUAGAUAGAGCCCAGUUAGUUCAUAUUAUUAGGCCCAAUCAAUCAGUAUCUUAAUUGAGCAGUCGUGUACAUGUACCUUUCAACUAUCUGUUGAUUGUACACUCAAAUUUCCCUGAUUUCUUUCUUUUACUAGAAAUAGACGGGGCCAGUUAAACAGAUGGCUUGUGAGCCUGGAAGAGAGCAAUAAUACAAGAUGCAUAAUACCCACCAUUCCCCUGAUUUAUUUGUUUACUUAUUACCAAAAGUGAGGUAUUUGCGUAUUCAUGUGAGGACGGCGGGCCCAGUGAAACAGAAUGGCUUGUGAGCUUGGAAGAGGGCAAUAAUACAAAUCUUUUUGUGGCUAACCAACAAAAUGUGUUUGGGAUUAUCUAGAAAGAAAAAAAAAAGGGUUCGGUGCUGGCUGGACCCUCGCUCUUUGCUGCACCAUCCGCCUAACAGUCAUGCAUGUCGCAUUUGUUGCCAUUCCACCGUUGUGCUGUCUUCCCGCUGAAUUAUUGCGUGCACGGAAAAAAUAGCACGCCAAAUCACCUCUUCCUUCAAUUUUCCCUGAUUUUUUUCUGGUAGUAGUACCUGCCAAGUUACCUGACGAACCGUGCAGCGAAAUGUUGGAAGCCACCGUGCGUAUAGGCGGCAGAGUUGAAAUUCUUUCCCAGAAGAGACGAUGAAGAGGGUUGCUUGCGUCGUUAAAAAGUUAGCCAUGCACCGCAACAGCGGUGCGGGGGCGGGGAGGUCCACCCUACGGGACGGAGGCUACAACGGAACGUGGCGGGCGUUUAUCGCGGAUCCUUACCCCACACCUCCGUCCAAAAUUCCUAUACCGUGCCAGCCUGGUAAUACCACCUCGGCACACCACCCGUGCCCCAUGCUCCCGGCCACGCGCGGAGAAAAAAGAGCGCACCAAAUCUCUACUUGGGGUUUAGAGAACGUUUGUGCAAUUUUUCAAAGGGCAGUACCUGGUCGACGCGCAGCCGCCCGAUGCCAGCGAUAACAGCCGUUUGAUCUGGCUUCCCGGUUUUGUCCACCUCGCCUCGCACAGGAUUGACUUUGUCCUUACUCCGCCUCCGCCUCCCCGUGAACCCUCCCGCCUCUAUCUUCGCCUCCGCCUCCGUUUGCCUCGUCCCCGCCUGCUUGCAGCUCCGGUGGACACUCAUGUCGUCGACGCCGUCAUGCCCGGGCGCAGCCCUGCCGUGAUGGUUCCAGCUCUGCUUUGGCUGGUUGUAGCAAAAACGAUUGCUAGUUCCGGCAAAAUCAAAUAUGGUUCCAGCAAAAAAAAUGUAGCAAGAAUCAUGACGGUAACGGCAACAUCUUCUCGAUUUGUAGCAAAAUAGAAAAGGGGUUCCAGCAAAAAUCGUAAGUGGUUGCAGCAAAAAAUAAAACACGGCGCCACCGUUCGUCGCCGGCCAAGCGCUAUCUUCGUGUGCCACAGCAAAAUCAAAUGUUGGUUCCAGCAAAAAAAAAUUGUAGCAAAAAUCAUGACGGCGAUGGCAACAUCUUCUCGAUUUGUAGCAAAAUAGAAAAGGGUUCCAGCAAAAAUCCUAUGUGAUCCAGCAAAAAAAAUGAUGUAGCAAAAAAAGUCAUGGCGACGGCACCACAAACCUCUCAAUUGCAACCAAACGAAAAGAAAGUUCCAGCAAAAAUUGAUUGUGGUUGCAGGCAAAAAAAAUAUGUAGCAAAAGAAGUGAUGGCGGCGACGGCACCACCAACCUUCAAUUGCAGCAAAAUCAAAAGAUGGUUCUAGCAAAACAUGAAGUGGUUCCAACAAAAAGAAUGAUGCAGCAAGCAACCCCCACCCCCCGGCUGUUCCCCUAGCACUGCACCUCUUAGGUGUCGCCGACCAUGUCUUCCCCUCUUGAUGAGCGUGGUGGUGGGUGCCUCCCAAAGUAGCGCCAUUUUGAGAGGGAGGACGUGUGAAUGGUGGUGGCUGUCAGAUUGGCGCGGGCUUGGCGGCACUCGUCGCCGGCGAGAUUUAUUUGGGAGCCCACAGGGAAAGAAAGAUGGGCGAGGGGAUAAGAGGAGGCUUAGCGGUGGAAAAUGAGUGGCUAGGAAGCACAUCGUGUGACUGGAUAAGGAAGGCUGAAGCGGUGUGUGCGUGGACCCGUUGCCAGGUUGGACGUGACCGGCGGAGUUUCAGCCGAUUGUUCGGCCCGCAACGUUUUCCUUUUUCAAAACGCGUUCACACAAUGGUUUUAGAGAAGGGUUGUAGUAUAAUUUUUAAUGUCCAUAACGAAGGAUGGCAGAAGAGAUUACUAAUGAACAUGGAGGAGCUCCCACUCAAAAAAAAUAGGGAGGAGUUCACCCAUGAACGCUUUCGCAUCUCGUGAGCCCAGCACCUACGCCCUAGUUAUUUUGGCGGUUAAAACAUACCCACAAAAUAAGCCCCCUCCCCCCUAGCAAAUGGUGGAGGAAGUUGGAUCUCGGAUACGGUUGACUUAUUUCUUGAUCUAGUGAAAAGUGAUGAAUCCGAGCAAGUUGUGGCGACCUCGAACAAAACUAGAGGUGGUCGAGGAAUUGCGAAAGAAGUGGGCAGCGAGGGAGCGGCCACAGGGAGACGACAUCCUAAAAAACGUCCAUCAAGAGGGCGGUUCUGGCGGUGGUGUGGGCUUCAAAGGAGGAGCGGGCGAUGAUGUUUGCAGUGGGAAUGCCAGCACACUGACCAGGCUGCGUAGGUAGCGACAGAGGCAGAGUUCUUAUUCUGGACCCAAGGAGGCAGGUGGAAGGACUUGGGGGUGCAAGCUCCUCCUUCCUAAAUCCAAAUCUCACCGGAGCCCAAUCAUUAUCGUCUUCCCCACUUGAUUUGAGCAAUUUUCUAUGUCGCACACAAUUAGUACAAGGAUCAAAAGGGGAAAUACAUUGGCAUCCCUCCAUCAAAACACUUCAAUCCUUUCACAAAAACCUUGAGGAGCCUCCGAUUUAAAUCUAACCCUUUUGAGUUCAUCGUUGACUUGUUAUUCUCAGAGGUUGGAGACCCCUAAGCAGUAGAAGUCCAUGGAAAGGAUUGAAGUCUUUUGGCGGCUUACAAAAUAAGCCACCACUCUCCAAAUUCUCUCGUAAACCAUCUGCCCCAUUGGUUGGGACUCAUGGACUACCUAUCCAUUGGUUCCUCGCAGUGCCUUGUGUAACGCUCCGGAUCCGAUGCGCUAGGUGUCUUCCAGUCAUUCGCCCUCGUUGCCAUGUCAUUUGCUUGUGUGUUGCACCGUUGCUCCAUUUUGAGCAUGCUCUAUAUGAAACUUGCUUAGAAUUGCAUGUAGUUUCAUCUUAUCAUGUUGAAUCCAUGUUUUGAGAGUGUUUGCUUGAUGUUUGAAUGUACUUUGCAUCAAUGCCAUGUUUGACUUGUUUUGCUCAUAUCUUCUAGGCCGUAGCUCCGAACUAUAUGAUCUUUAUAUGUAACUUGACUAGAAUUUCAUGUAGAUCAUCUUGGUGCAUUUUAACUUGCUGUUUUACAACUUGAACAUAAAGUUUAUUCAGAUCUGGACCAAUUUCGAAAUUUGCAUAUGAGGACUUACCAGACUUGUUAUAUGUUGUUUCCAGCCUCAUUUAAACUUGCUUUGAUGUGUUGUUCUUGUAUGCAUCAUCUCUUGCCAUGAGUAGCCUCAUAUAGCCUUUGUCAUGCAUCAUACUUGGUUGUACAUCAUGUCAUGUUUAUGUGUUGUGUGUUUACCUUAUUGUUUUCUUCUUUCCGGUUGUGCUUCUUCUCGAUAGUUCAUGUUUCGUUGCGAUCGUGAGGAUUCGUUCGUCUACGCUUGGUUCGUCUUUGCCCGUUCGUCUUCUUCAUGGACUCGUUCUUCUUCCUAGCGGGAUUUCAGGCAAGAUGACCGCUACCCUGGAUCUCACUACUAUCAUUGUUAUGCUAGUUGCUUCAUUCUAUCACUAUGCUACGCUACCUAUCACUUGCUCUUCAAGCCUCCCAAAUUGCCAUGUCAGCCUCUAACCUUUUCACCCUUCCUAGCAAACCGUUGCUUGGCUAUGUUACCGCUUUGCUCAGCCCCUCUUAUAGCGUUGUUAGUUGCAGGUGAAGUUGAAGAUUGCUCCAUGAUGGACAUGAUUAUGUUGGGAUAUCACAAUAUCUCUUAUUUAAUUAAUGCAUCUAUAUACUUGGUAAAGGGUGGAAGACUCGGCCUUAUGCCUGGUGUUUUGUUUCACUCUUGCCGCCUUAGUUUCCGUCAUACGGUGUUAUGUUCCUUGAUUUUGUGUUCCUUACAUGGCCGGGUGUAUAGGACUGAUACAUCUCCGUCGUAUCUAUAAUUUUUGAUUGUUCCAUGCCAAUAUUAUUCAACUUUUAUAUACUUUUGGCAACUUUUUAUACUAUUUUUGGGACUAACAUAUUGAUCCAGUGCCCAGUGCCAGUUCCUGUCUGUUGCAUGUUUUAUGUUUCGCAGAAAACCAAUAUCAAACGGAAUCCAAACGGGAGAAAAACGGACGGAGAAUUAUUUUGGAAUAUUUGGGAUUUUCCGGAGGAACAAUCGACGCGAAACGGUGUCCGGGGUGGCCACGAGACAGGGGGUGCGCCCUCCCCCCCGGGCGCACCCUGGGCUCUCGUGGGCCACCCGUAAGGCGGUUGAUGCCCUUCUUUUGCUGCAAGAAAGCUAAUUUUAUGAGAAAAAUCUGGGCGAAAGAUUCACCCCAAUCGGAGUUACGGAUCUCCAUAUAUAAAGGAAACGAUAAAGGGGAAGAAACAGAGAACGCAGAAACAGAGAGAUAGAUCCUAUCUCGGAGGGGCUCUCGCCCCUCCCAAGUCAUGGGAGCGAAGGAUUAGAGGGGAAACCCUUCUCCCAUCUAGUGAGGAGGUUAAGGAAGAAGAACAAGAAGGGGGCCUCUCUCCCCCUUGCUUCCGGUGGCGCCGGAACGCUGCCGGGGGCCAUCAUCAUCACCGCGAUCUUCACCAACCCCACUGUCAUCUUCACCAUCAUCUCCAUCACCUUCCCCCAUCUAUAUCCAGCGGUCCACUCUCCCGCAUCCCGCUGUACCCUCUGAUAAUCCCCAAGUGCAGGGAAUCAUCGUAGCAAUUCCCAAAGGUGGAAGUGAUAAGUAUGGAGUGUCGAACCCACAAGGAGCUAAAGGUAAGAUCAAUAUUCUCUCAAGCCCUAUCUGCCACUGAUAUGACUCUACGUACACCGAAUGUUUGCUGCCAACUAGAAACAAGAAAUAAAACUGUGUUGUGGGUAUAAAGAGGAUAACUUUGUAUGAUACCGGGGAGAUAAAAUAUAAAAGUAGGUGUUGUUAUCAUAAAGUUAGAAUAUAAUACUCCCUCCGUAAACUAAUGUAAGAGCGUUUAGAUAACUACUUUAGUGAUCUAAACGCUCUUAUAUUAGUUUACAGAGGGAGUACUAAAUAAUAUAAAUAGCGAGUGUGGAAUAAUGGUGGAUCGGUGUGCGGAAUUUUCCUAGGCAAUUGUUAACAAGAUCGAUAGUCGUCAUUGCAAUUUCAUAUGAGGGAGAGGCAUAAGCUAACAUACUUUUCCAUCCUUGGAUCAUAUGCACUUAUGAUUGGAACUUUAACAAGCAUCCACAAAUACUAAAGAUCAUUAAGGUAAAAACCCAACCAUAGCAUUAAAGCAUCAAGUCCCCUUUUAUCCCAUACGCAACAACCCCCUUACUCGGGUUUGUGUUUUCGUCACUCAUGCAACCCACUAUCAGUGAAUCAUGCACGUAUUGCAACACUCUACAACUGGAAUCCCUCACGCUUGCGCAACACGGAGGGCACCGUAGGACAGCACAAAAAUAGCCCAUGCUAACUUACAUCCAAUUUGAUAUAUAUAUCAUGAUCUUUCAAACACGGGGAGCUUGCCAAAGGAUAAAAUGAAAAAGGGAAAGGUGAGGAUCACCUUGACUCAAGCAUAAAGUAAAAGCAUAAAGUAAAAGAUAGGCCCUUCGCAGAGGGAAGUAGAGGUUGUCAUGCGCUUUUAGGGUUGGAUACACAAAAUCUUAAUGCGAAAGAACGUCACUUUAUAUUGCCCCUUGUAUGUGGACCUUUAUUAUGCAGUUCGUCGCUUUUAUUACUUCCACAACAAGAUCGUACAAAGUUUAUUUUCUCCGCACUAAUAAGUUAUGCAUAUUUAAAGAGCAAUUUUUAUUACUUGCACCGAUGACAACUUACUUGAAGGAUCUUACUCAAUCCAUAGGUAGGUAUGGUGGAGUCUCGUGGCAAAACUGGGUUUAAGGAUAUUUGGAAGCACAAGUAGUAUCUCUACUUGGUGCAAGGAAUUUGGCUAGCAUGAGGGGGAAAGGCAAGCUCAACAUGUUCGGAAGGUCAAUGACAAUAUACUUUAACUGAGAUGUCGGAAAACAUAAACCAUUACGUUUUCUUCCUUGUCCAAUGUCAACUCUUUUAGCAUGUCAUACUUAAUGAGUGCUCCCAAUCAUAAAAGAUGUCCAAGAUAACUUAUUUGUAUGUGAACCUCUCUUUCCUUAUUACUUCCUAUUAAUUGCAACGAUGACCAAAACUACGUUUGCCAACUUCAACAAUUUUUAUGCCUCAUACUCUUUAUAUGUGGAGUCAUUACCAUCCAUGUUAUAAGAAAAUGAACCAUAUAUAAAUUCAUAUUCAUGACAUUCAACUCAUUCAACAAUUUACUCAUAGGAUAUAAGUGAAGCACACGAGUAAAUGAAAAACUACUCCAAAAGAUAUGAGUGAAAGACACUGAGUAGUCAAAUAAUUAACUAGCCAUAGAAGGGUUCCCUUUUUUAUUAAAUAAUAAAAUCCAAUGAUUUUAUUCAAACAGCGAGUAAAAUUGAAAUAAAAUGACAUUGCAAGGAUAACACAACUCAUGUGAAUAAGCAAAAACUUAGGCUCAACCGAUACUAACAGAUAGUUGUUGAACAAGAGAGGUGGGAUGCCUACUGGGGCAUCCCCAAGCUUAGAUGCUUGAGACUUCUUGAAAUAUUAUCUUGGGGUGCCUUGGGCAUCCCCAAGCUUGAGUUUUUAUGUCUCCUUAAUUCCUCUCAUAUCAUGGUUUCUCUUUUUUUAUCAAAAGCUUCAUUCACAACAAACUCAACAAGAACUCGAGAGAUAGGUUAGUAUAAACCAAUGCAAAACCUUAUCAUUUUCUACUGUAACAAAUUACUAAAAUUAUUAUUCAACAUUUAAUACUAAAUGCCUCUGCAUAUUUAAUACUCCUAUCAUCAAAUAGAAUCAUUAAACAAGCAAACAUAUGCAAACAACGCAAACAUAACAGCAAUCUGCCAAAACAUUACAGUCUGUAAACAAUGCAAGAGUAUCAAUACUUCCCUAAUUUCAAAAAUUAUGAGAGAAAAUUCCCACUGUAAUAAAUUUAUCAGAUCUUAAUAUGCAAAAAGGUUCAACAUUAUACCAUUCACUAACUUUUCUAGGGAAUUUUUGCAACAGCAGUAAACUUUCUGUUUUCAAACAGCAACAUGCAUACUUGCAAAAUAAGCAUGGUAAAGGCUAUCCUUGACAUUUUUAUUGAAACUAAAGAUGCAAAACAUUAUUAUAAAUAACAGAAAGAAAAUACUAACAAAAUAAAAUGACGCUCCAAGCAAAACACAUAUCAUGUAGCGAAUAAAAAUAUAGCUCCAAGUAAAGUUACCGAUGAACGAAGACGAAAGAGGGGAUGCCUUCCGGGGCAUCCCCAAGCUUAGGCUCUUGGUUGUCCUUGAAUAUUACCUUGGGUUGCCUUGGUCAUACCCAAGAUUAUCCUCUUGCCACUCCUUAUUCCAUAGUCCAUCGAAUCUUUACCCAAAACUUGAAAACUUCAACCACACAAAACUCAACCAAACUUCGUGAGAUAGGUUAGUAUGAUAAAGAGUAAACCAUGCACUUUGGUACUGUAAAAGACAAGGUUCAUAAUUGUUUUCACAUAAUUCCUACUGUACCAUAUUAUUUGUACAAUUUAUAUUGAGAAAUAUAAGCCAUAGAAACUAGAAAACAAGCAAACUAUACAAUGAAAACAGAAUCUGUCAGAAACAGAACAGUCUCUAAUGAUCUGAACAAUAACCAUACUUCUGCUACUCCAAAAAUUAUGAAAUAAGUUGGUCGAUGGGAGUAAUUUGUCUAUUAAUCUUCUGCAAAAAGAAUCAACUCAAAAGCACUCUUGUGUAAAAAAUGACAGCUAAUCUCGUGAGCGCAAAGUUUCUGUUUUUUACAGCAAGAUCACAUUAACUUUCACCCAAGUCUUCCCAAAGGUCUUACUUGGCACUUUAUUGAAACUAAAGCUAUAAAACAUGAUUAAUACAGUAGCUUGAUCAUGUAGACACACAAAAACAGUAAGGAUAAAUAUUGGGUUGUCUCCCAACAAGCGCUUUUUUUUUUCUUUAAUGCCUUUUAGCUAGGCAUGAUGAUUUCAAUGAUGCUCGCAUAAAAGAUAAGAGUUGAAACAUAAAAAGAGAAUCAUGAAGAAUAUGACUAGCAUAUUUAAAUCUAACCCACUUCCUAUGCCUAGGGAUUUUGUGAGCACACAAUUUAUAGGAACAAGAAUCAACUAGCAUAGGAAGGCAAAACAAGUAUAACUUCAAAAAUUUAAGCACGUAGAGAGGAAACAUGAUAUUAUUGCAACUCCUACAAGCACAUAUUCCUCCCUCAUAAAAAAAUUCAGUAGCAACAUGGAUAGCAAAUUUGUUCUCAUAAUCAAUUGGAUCCUCUUCCGAAAUGGUGGAAUACUAACUAAAGUUGACACUCUUCCAAAUCCACUUUCAUAAAUAUCGUACAAAGAUUCAACCUCCUCCAAGAUAGUGGGGUCACUAAUUCCUAAAGUUGACACUCUUCCAAACCCACUUUAAAUUAUAGUAUUAUUCAUACUCCAAAAGAUAUAAGUGAAGUUCCUGGAGCAUUUUACAAUUAAUAUAAACCAGCCAAUAUCCAAGCUCAAAAUAUAUAAGUGAAGCGCAUGGAGCAUUCUAAAAAACCAUACUCAAACGAUUUAAGUGAAGCACAAAGAGCAAUUUUAUAAGAUCAUACUUAAAAGAUAUAAGUGAAGCACAUGAAGCAUUCUGUAAAUCAGUAAAGAGCUAGCUCAUACUAGCAUGAUUCUUAAAGAAAAUACAAACACAAAGGACACAAAUCAUGUGAACAAAACAAAAACCGAGAUAUACCGAUAUUUGUUGAAGAAGAAAGAUGGGAUGCCAACCGGGGCAUCCCCAAGCUUAGAUGCUUGAGUAUCCUUUGAAAUAUUUGCUUGGGGUGCCUUGGGAAUCCCCAAGCUUGAACUCUUGUCUCUCUUUAUUCUUCUCACAUCGGUAAUUCCUCGUUCUUCAAACACUUCAUUCACAAAAAACUUAAACAAAAACUUGUGAGAUUCGUUAGUGGAAUAAAGCAAACUACCACUUUAAGGUACUGUAAUUAACUCAUUCUUUGUUUAUAUUGGUGUUAAACCUACUGUAUUCCAACUUUUCUAUGGUUCAUACCCUGCAUACUAGCCAUAGAUGCAUCAAAAUAAGCAAACAACACACGAAAAAUAGAAUCUGUCAAGAACAGGACUAUUUGUAGUAAUCUGGAAGUUCAGCAAACUUCUGUAACUCCAAAAAUUAUGAAAUAAAUUUGAAAAUUUGAAAACUUUGUACAUAAGUAAUGUGCAAAAAGUUUCAGACCCAUUUGACUUUCCAGUAAAAAAAUGUAAAUUCAUGCACUACAACCAAAGUUUCUGUUUUUGUUCUGCACAUAGUAAGCAAGCAAUCUUAACAUACUAAAACCAAAGCUUGGCACAAAAUUUUUAUAAUACAAUGGAUAUAUACAAGAGGAUAAUUAUUUACAGAGAAACUUCCAUGAAAAAUUCUACAUUGUUUCCGUAAGCAUGAACACAAGUGCUCAAGGUCGACCCUCACUUCUUCAAUGCAUAACUUUCCAAUCACUUCUCUUUUUGAAAAACUUUUUUAGGCAUGAGAGGCAAGUAAAUAUUUUUUGGUAUUUUCAUUCUUUUAUUUUUUUUGUAUGUUUCACCCACAACUAAACAGAAACAAAAAGGGAAAAACAAAAUCUACUAAGUGAAGAAAGCAAACAACCACACACGAAAAUAUCAACCCCACGCUAUUGCUCCCCGGCAACGGCGCCAGAAAAGAGCUUGAUAAUCCCCAAGUGCAGGGAAUCAUCGUAGAAAUUCCCAAAGGUGGAAGUGAUAAGUAUGGAGUGUCGAACCCACAAGGAGCUAUAGGUAAGAUCAAUAUUCUCUCAAGCCCUAUCUGCCACUGAUACGACUCUACGUGCACCGAACAUUUGCUUCCAACUAGAAACAAGAAAUAAAACUGUGUUGUGGGUAUAAAGAGGAUAACUUUGUAUGAUACUGGGGAGCUAAAAUAUAGAAGUAGGUGCUGUUAUCAUAAAGUUAGAAUAUAAUACUAAAUAAUAUAAAUAGCGAGUGUGGAAUAAUGGUGGAAAGGUGUGCGGAAUUGUCCUAGGCAAUUGUUAACAAGAUCGAUAGUCGUCAUUGCAAUUUCAUAUGAGGGAGAGGCAUAAGCUAACAUACUUUUCCAUCCUUGGAUCAUAUGCACUUAUGAUUGGAACUCUAGCAAGCAUCCGCAAAUACUAAAGAUCAUGAAGGUAAAAACCCAACCAUAGCAUUAAAGCAUCAAGUCCCCUUUUAUCCGAUAUGCAACAACCCCCUUACUCGGGUUUGUGUUUCCGUCACUCACGCAACCCACUAUAAGUGAAUCAUGCACGUAUUGCCACACCCUACAGCGGGAAUUCCUCACGCUUGCGCUACACAGAGGGCACAGUAGGACAGCACCGAAAUAAAACAUACAACUCGUACCAAUCUAGAUCACCAAUCAACUCAAGGACAAAAGAUAUCUACUCAAAACAUCAUAGGAUGGCAACACAUCAUUGGAUCAUAAUAUGUAUCAUAAAGCACCAUGUUCAAGUAGGGAUUACAGUGAGGUGUGGGAGAGUGGGCCGCGUAAAAGAGAUGAGGAUGGUGAUGUUGAUGAAGACGAUCACCGCGGCGAUGAUUCCCCUCCCGAUGGCACUCCGGUGCCACCAAGAGAGAGGAGGAGAGGUUCUCCCCCUUGUGCUUCCUUAUCCAUGGCUUUCCCCCUCUGGUCCUUGGCCUUCAUGGUCAUGAUGGCCCCUCCGAGAUCCUCCUCCAUGGCCUCCGGUGAUGAUGGCCCCCUCCGGCAGGGUGCCAGAGAGGGCCUAGAUUGAUUUCUCGUGGCUACAGAGGCUUGCGGCGGCGGAACUUCUGAUCUAGGUUCAUUCCCGAAGGUUUCUGUAUUUAUAGGAAUAUUUGGCGUUGGUUUCAUGUCAGGGGGGGUCUCCGGGCUGUCCACGAGAUAGGGGGUGCGCCCUAGGGGGGAGCCCCCCACUCUCGUGGGUAGCCCGGGACUCUUCUGGCCCAACUCCGAUGCUCCGUGGUCUUCUUUUGGUCCAUAAAAAAUCCUCAAAAAUUGGCACGUCAUUUGGACUCCGUUUGGUAUCCCUUUUCUGUAAAACACAAAAACAAGGAGAAAACAGAAACUGGCACUGGGCUCUAGGUUAAUAGGUUAGUCCCAAAAAUCAUAUAAAAUGACAUAUAAAUGCAUAUAAAUCAUCAUAGAUGGAUAAUAUAAUAGCAUGAAUACUUCAUAAAUUAUAGAUACGUUGGAGAUGUAUCACCCUCUACUUGAACAUGGUGAUUUAUGCUUCAUAUUAUUUUCCAAUGAUGUGUUGCCAUCCUAUGAUGUCUGAGUAGAUUUUCGUUGUCCUAUCGGUGAUUGAUGAAUUGCUAUGAUUGGUUUGAGUUGCAUGUUUUAUUAUUGGUGAUGUCCUAUUGUGCCCUCCGUGUCGCGCAAGCGUGAGGGAUUCCCGCUGUAGGGUUUGCAAUAUGUUUAUGAUUUGCUUAUGGUGGGUGGCGUGAGUGACAGAAGCACAGACCCGAGUAAGUAGGUUAUUUGCGUAUGGGAUAAAGGGGACUUGAUACUUUAAUGCUACUGUUGGGUUUUACCUUAAUGAAUCUUUAGUAGUUGCGGAUGCUUGCUAGAGUUCCAAUCAUAAGUGCAUAUGAUCCAAGUAGAGAAAGUAUGUUAGCUUAUGCCUCUCCCUCAAGUAAAAUUGCAAUAGUGAUUACCGGUCUAGUAACAUAGUCAAUUGCUUAGGGACAAUUCCAAAACUCCUACCACCACUUUUCCACACUUGCUAUAUUUACUUUAUUGCAUCUUUAUCUAAACAGCCCCUAGUUUAUGUUUACGUGCUCUUUAUUAUCUUGCAAACCUAUCCUAUCACACCUACAAAGUACUUCUAGGUUCAUACUUGUUCUAGGUAAAGCGAACGUCAAGCGUGCGUAGAGUUGUGUCGGUGGUCGAUAGAACUUGAGGGAAUAUUUAUUCUACCUUUAGCUCAUCGUUGGGUUCGACACUCUUACAUAUCGAAAACUGUUGCGAUCCCCUACACUUGUGGGUUAUCAAGACCUUUUUCUGGCGCCGUUGCCGGGGAGUCAUAGUGUGGGGUGAAUAUUCUCGUGUGUGCUUGUUUGCUUUAUCACUAAGUAAUUUUUAUUUGCUGUUCUUAGUUGUUCUCUAUCUUUAGUUAUGGAUAUAGAACGCAAAAUACCAAAAAAAAUUAGAUGUACUUGCUACUCAUGUAGAUGGGGUAACUCCUAAAACCCCCGAUUCUCAUUAUGUGAAAGAUAUUAUGUACUACUUUGAUAAUCCUGAGAAAACCCCAUUCAACUUUAUAAUGGGAGACAAGUUGGAUCAACAUGAAUACUUUAGGGAUUAUCGCUCGACACAAAAAGGGAAACUAUUAUGGGAUCAAUUUAUUAUGUUGCGUUGGUAUGCCUGGAAUCUCUGCUUGAGAUAUAAUAUUACUUGUUGCUCUUGGAUGAAGGCUCCACACCUUCCCUUUUCAUGCAAAUUUAAUGAUAAUGAAACCUUAGCUUCUUAUGCUAAUGGUAUAUAUGAUUACUAUGAUGUGGAACAAAUAUAAGAAUUUGUUGCUUUUAAGGCUGCUUAUGAGAUUGAAGCUUUGUUUGAAAAGUAUGAAGCUUUUGAUGAUGAGGGUUAUAGGCCUGAAAAUCUUGCUAUACUUACAUAUUGCUAUGAAAAUUAUGAAUACAAUUAUUAUAUUAAUGCUUUUAUGAAGAAAGUCUCUGUUGUCCAAGAAGAGACUAAUAUUUUGCAGGAAGCUAUGGAUGAAGAAAUUGAUGAAACUGUGAGCUCAUUGGAUGAAAAAGAUGAUGAGGAAAGCGAAGAACAAAAGGAGGAAGAACGGAUUAGCUACCCGUGCCCACCUUCUAAUGAGAGUAACUCUUCAACUCAUACAUUGUUCAAUUCCCCUUCGUGCUUACCGAAGGAUGAUUGCUAUGAUGAUUGCUAUGAUCCCUUGAAUUUGUUUGAAAUAUCCCUUUUUGAUGAUGCUUGCUAUGCUUGUGGCAAAGAUGCCAAUAUGAAUUAUGCUUAUGGAGAUGAACUUUCUAUAGUUCCUUAUGUUAAACAUGAAAUUGUUGCUAUUGCACCCACGCAUGAUAGUCCUAUUAUCUUUUUGAAUUCUCCCAACUACACUUUAUCGGAGAAGUUUGUGCUUAUUAAGGAUUAUAUUGAUGGGUUGCCUUUUACCAUUGCACAUGAUGAUUUUGAUGAAUGUAAUAUGCAUGUGCUUGCUGCUCCUACUUACAAUUAUUAUGAGAGGGGAACUAUAUCUCCACCUCUCUAUGUUUCCAAUAUGAUAGAAUUGCAAGAAACUGCUUAUACUAUGCAUUGGCCUUUACUUGGUGUGCAUGAAUUGUUCUUUUAUGACAUGCCGAUGCAUAGGAAGAGAGUUAGACUUUGUUGUUGCAUGAUAUAUGUUACUUUGUGAUCACUACUAAAUUACAAAUCAUUGUUAAUUAAAAUUGGCUUUGAUAUACCUUGGGAUCCGGGUGGAUCCAUUACUUGAGCACUAUAUGCCUAGCUUAAUGGUUUUAAAGAAAGCGCUGUCAGGGAGACAACUCGGAAGUUUAAGAGAGUCAUUUAUUUCUGUUGAGUGCUUUUAUAUAGUUUAAAAACAAAAAAAAUAAAGAGGGGAACCUAAAAACUUUUCAAAAAGGAAAGUGGAAGUGAGAAAGACAAGCAUUGUUGAGGUGGGAGAGCUCCUUGAACUUUGUUCAUGCUCACAGAAACUUUGUGAAUCUUGAUUACAGAAAAUUUUCAUCAAAAAUAAUUAUCCCCUUGUAUAAUUCCAUUGUAUUAUAAAAAUAAUGUGCCAAGGUUUGCCUUUAGGAUGUUUACAAUGCUUGUUGAUUUGUAUGGUGCAGGAUAGAAACUUUGGCUGUAGUGCGUGAUUUUACAUUUUUAACUGGAAUGUCAUUUGGUUCUGAUUCCUUCUGCACUGUCUUGCCGUACAACUUUAUUACUUUUCCUAAUUUUCGUAGAAUUGUUGGGGUACCAGAAGUAUGGUGAAUGUUCAGAUUGCUACAGACUGUUCUAUUUUUGACAGAUUCUGUUUUUGAUGCAUAGUUUGCUUGUUUUGAUGAAUCUAUCAACUUAUAUCAGUGGUUUAAGCCAUGGAAAAGCUAUAUUACAGUAGACACAAUGCAAAAACAAAAUAUGAAUUGGUUUGUUACAGUACUUAGAGUAGUGAUUUGCUUUAUUAUACUAACGGAUCUUAUCGAGUUUUUUGUUGAAGUUUUGUGUGGAUGAAGUGUCUAAACGAGGAGGUCUCGAUAUGAGGAAAAGGAAGAGAGGCAAGAGCUUAAGCUUGGGGAUGCCCGAGGAACCCCAAGUAAAUAUUCAAGGAGACUCAAGCGUCUAAGCUUGGGAUGCCCCGGAAGGCAUCCCCUCUUUCUUCAACAAGUAUUCGUAUUCAUUUCGUUUAUGCAUUAUGUGCAAGUCUUGGAGCGUCUUUUGCAUUUAGUUUUCAUUUUUCUUUUAUACACCAUGCUGGUAUGAGAUAGUCCUUGGUUGAUUUACAGAAUGCUCAUUGCACUUCACUUAAAUCUUUUGAGUAUGGCUUUAUAGAAUGCUUCAUGUGCUUCACUUAUAUCAUUUGAAGUUUAGAUUGCCUGUUUCUCUUCACAUAGAAAACCGCCAUUUGUAGAAUGCUCUUUUGCUUCACUUAUAUUUGUUAGAGCGUGGGCAUAUCUUUUGUAGAAAGAAUUAAAAUCUCUUGCUUCACUUAUAUCUAUUUAGAGAGAUGGCGGGAAUUGGUCAUUCACAUGGUUAGUCAUAAAAUCCUACAUAAACUUGUAGAUCGCUGAAUAUGAUAUGUUUGAUUCCUUGCAAUAGUUUUGUGAUAUAAAGAUGGUGAUAUUAGAGUUAUGCUAGUGGUUGGUUGUGGAUUGUAGAGACAUUUGUGUUGAGGUUUGCAAGUCCCGUAGCAUGCACGUAUGGUAACCGUUGUGUGACAAAUUUGAAGCAUGGGGUGUUUCUUUGAUUUUCUUCCUUAUGAGUGGCAGUCGGGGACAAGCGAUGGUAUUUUCCUACCAAUCUAUCCCCCUAGGGGCAUGAUGAGUAGUACUUUGCUUCGAGGGCUAAUAAAGUUUUGCAAUAAGUAUAUGAGUUCUUUAUGACUAAUGUGAGUCCAUGGAUUAUACGCACUUUUACCUUUCCAUCAUUGCUAGCCUCUUCGGUACCAUGCAUUGCCCUUUCUCACCUUGAGAGUUGGUGCAAACUUCGCCGGUGCAUCCAAACCCCGUGAUAUGAUACGCUCUAUCACACAUAAGCCUCAUUAUAUCUUCCUCAAAACAGCCACCAUACCUACCUAUCAUGGCAUUUCCAUAGCCAUUCCAAGAUAUAUUGCCAUGCAACUUCCAUCAUCAUCAUAUACAUGACUUGAGCAUUCAUUGUCAUAUUGCUUUGCAUGAUCGUAAGAUAGCUAGCAUGAUGUUUUCAUGGCUUGUCCGUUUUUUGAUGUCAUUGGUACGCUAGAUCACUGCACAUCCUGGGACAUGCCGGAAGCAUUCAUAUAGAGUCAUAUCUUUGUUCUAGUAUCGAGUUGUAAUAUUGAGUUGUAAGUAAAUAAAAGUGUGAUGAUCAUCAUUAUAGAGCAUUGCCCCAUGAAAAAAAGGGAAAGGCCAAAGAAGCCUAAAUAAAAAAGGGGGCCAAAGAAGCCCACCGAAAAAAAGAAAAAAGGAAAAAAGGAAAAAAGGAAAAGAAAAAAGGGGCAAUGUUACUAUCCUUUUUCCACACUUGUGCUUCAAAGUAGCACCAUGUUCUUCAUAUAGAUUGUCUCCUAUGUUGUCACUUUCAUAUACUAGUGGGAAUUUUCAUUAUAUAACUUGGCUUGUAUAUUCCAACGGUGGGCUUCCUCAAAUGCCCUAGGUCUUCAUGAGCAAGCAAGUUGGAUGCACACCCACUUAGUUUUCAGUUUGAGCUUUCAUACACUUAUAGCUCUUAGUGCAUCCGUUGCAUGGAAAUCCCUACUCCUCGCAUUGACAUCAAUUGAUGGGCAUCUCCAUAGCCCGUUGAUUAGUUGCGUCGAUGUGAGACUUUCUCCCUUUUUGUCUUCUCCACAUAACCCCCAUCAUUGGAUUCUAUUCCACCUACAGUGCUAUAUCCAUGGCUUGCACUCAUGUAUUGCGUGAGGGUUGAAAAAGCUGAAGCGCAUUAAAAAGUAUGAACCAAUUGCUCGGCUCGUCAUCGGGGUUGUGCAUGAUGGGAGCAUUUUUGUGUGAUGAAGAUGAAGCAUGGCCAAACUGUAUGAUUUUGUAGGGAUAAGCUUGCUUUGGCCUUGUUGUUUUGAAAAGACAUGAUUGCUUUAUUGGUACGCUCGAAGUAUUAUUGUUUUUUAUGUCAAAUGAUAGACUAUUGCUUUGAAUCACUCGUGUCUUAAUAUUCAUGCCAUGAUUAGACAUAUGAUCAAGAUUAUGCUACGUAGCAUUCCACAUCAAAAAUUAUCUUUUUUAUCAUUUACCUACUCGAGGACGAGCAGGAAUUAAGCUUGGGGAUGCUGAUACGUCUCCGUCGUAUCUAUAAUUUUUGAUUGUUCCAUGCCAAUAUUCUUCAACUUUCAUAUACUUUUGGCAACUUUUUAUACUAUUUUUGGGACUAACAUAUUGAUACAGUGCCCAGUGCCAGUUCUUGUCUGUUGCAUGUUUUAUGUUUCACAGAAAACCAAUAUCAAACGGAAUCCAAAUGGGAUAAAAAUGGACAGAGAAUUAUUUUGGAAUAUUUGGGAUUUUCCGAAGGAAGAAGCAACGCGAAACGGUGUCCGGGGUGGCCACGAGACAGGGGGCGCGCCCUCCCCCCUAGGCGCGCCCUGGGCUCUCGUGGGCCACCCGUAAGGUGGUUGAUGCCCUUCUUUUGCCGCAAGAAAGCUAAUUUUAUGAGAAAAAUCUGGGCGAAAGAUUCACCCCAAUCGGAGUUACGGAUCUCCAUAUAUAAAGGAAACGAUGAAGGGGAAGAAACAGAGAACGCAGAAACAGAGAGAUAGAUCCAAUCUCGGAGGAGCUCUCGCCCCUCCCAAGCCAUGGGAGCCAAGGACCAGAGGGGAAACCCUUCUCCCAUCUAGGGAGGAGGUCAAGGAAGAAGAAGAAGAAAGGGGCCUCUCUCCCCCUUGCUUCCAGUGGCGCCAGAACGUUGCCGGGGGCCAUCAUCAUCACCGCGAUCUUCACCAACACCACCGUCAUCUUCACCAACAUCUCCAUCACCUUCCCCCAUCUAUAUCCAGCGGUCCACUCUCCUGCAUCCCGCUGUACCCUCUACUUGAACAUGGUGCUUUAUGCUUCAUAUUAUUUUCCAAUGAUGUGUUGCCAUUCUAUGAUGUUUGAGUAGAUUUUCGUUGUCCUAUCGGUGAUUGACGAAUUGCUAUGAAUGGUUUGAGUUGCAUGUUUUAUUAUUGGUGCUGUCCUAUUGUGCCCUCCGUGUCGCGCAAGCGUGAGGGAUUCCCGUUGUAGGGUUUGCAAUAUGUUUAUGAUUUUCUUAUGGUGGAUGGCGUGAGUGACAGAAGCACAGACCCGAGUAAGUAGGUUGUUUGUGUAUGUGAUAAAGGGGACUUGAUACUUUAAUGCUAUGGUUGGGUUUUACCUUAAUGAAUCUUUAGUAGUUGCGGAUGCUUGCUAGAGUUCCAAUCAUAAGUGCAUAUGAUCCAAGUAGAGAAAGUAUGUUAGCUUAUGCCUCUCCCUCAAGUAAAAUUGCAAUAGUGAUUAUCGGUCUAGUAACAUAGUCAAUUGCUUAGGGACAAUUUCACAACUCCUACCACCACUUUUCCACACUCUCUAUAUUUACUUUAUUGCAUCUUUAUCUAAACAGCCCCUAGUUUAUGUUUACGUGCUCUUUAUUAUCUUGCAAACCUAUCCUAUCACACCUACAAAGUACUUCUAGUUUCAUACUUGUUCUAGGUAAAGCGAACGUCAAGCGUGCGUAGAGUUGUAUCGGUGGUCGAUAGAACUUGAGGGAAUAUUUAUUCUACCUUUAGCUCCUCAUUGGGUUCGACACUCUUACUUAUCGAAAACUGUUGCGAUCCCCUACACUUGUGGGUUAUCAAGGACCCCCUUGACAGUUCGCUUUGAAUGAAACUCCUCCAGCAAGGCGCAACCUUGGUUUUAACAUUUGCCACCUAAGCCUUUUUCCCUUGGGUUUCCGGAGCCCGAGGGUCAUCUUAUUUUACCCCCCGGGCCAGUGCUCCUCUGAGUGUUGGUCAAAACUAGAGCACCAUGCAGGACCGUCCCUUGGCAACUUGGGUUAUGUUGGUACUUGUACGCUUAGCUUAUCUGGUGUGCCCUGAGAAUGAGAUAUGUGUAGCUCCUAUUGGGAUUUGUCGACACAGUCAGGUGGUCUUGCUGGUCUUGUUUUACCAUUGUCAAAAUGUCUUGUAACCGGGAUUCCGAGACUGAUCGGGUCUUCCCGGGAGAAGGAAUAUCCUUCGUUGGUCGUGAGAGCUUAUAAUGGGCGAAGUUGGGACACCACUGCAGGGAUUAAACUUUCGAAAGACGUGCCUGCGGUUAUGUGGCAUAUGGGAAUUUGUUAAUGUCCGGUUGUAGAGAACUUGACACCAAACUCGAAUUAAAAUACCCAACCGUGUAUGUAACCGUGAUGGUCUCUUUUCAAGUGGGUCGAGAAGUGAACACGGUUUGUGUUAUGUUUGAAGCGCAAGUAGUUUCAGGAUCACCCCUUGAUCACUUCUAGCUUCUCGACGUUAUGUUGCUUCUCUUCUCACUCUUAUUUGCGUAUGUUAGCCACCAUAUAUGCUUAGUCGCUGCUGCAACCUCACCACGUAUCCUUUCCAUACCCAUUAAGCUUUGCUAGUCUUGAUACCCAUGGUAAUGGGAUUGCUGAGUCCUCGUCGCUCACAGUUUACUACAACAACAGUUGCAGGUACAUGUUAUGCGAUGAUUAUGACGCGAGAGCGAUGUUUGCUUGUUUUGGAGUUCUUCUUCUGCUUCUUCUUCGAUCGGGGGAUAGGUUCCAGGUCUUGUGUAUGAUGUUGUUGUAUUCGUGUGGCAUUGUAUGCCUCUUGUAUGUAUCCCCAACUAUUAUGUAAUGGUACGAUGUGAUGUCUACUACACAACCUUCUUCUUGUAGAUGUUGUUGGGCUUGCAAGUGCACAGGUUUGUAGGACAGUAGCAAAUUUCCCUCAAGUGGAUGACCUAAGGUUUAUCAAUCCGUAGGAGGCGUAAGAUGAAGAUGGUCUCUCUCAAACAACCCUGCAACCAAAUAACAAAGAGUCUCUUGUGUCCCCAACACACCCAAUAAAAUGGUAAAUUGUAUAGGUGCACUAGUUCGGCGAAGAGAUGGUGAUACAAGUGCAAAAUGGAUAGUAGAUAAAGGUAUUUGUAAUCUGAAAUUAUAAAAACAGCAAGGUAACAAGUGGUAAAAGUGAGCAUAAACGGUAUUGCAAUGGUAGGAAACAAGGCAUAGGGUUCAUACUUUCACUAGUGCAAGUUCUCUCAACAAUAAUAACAUAGACAGAUCAUAUAACAAUCCCUCAACAUGCAACAAAGAGUCACUCCAAAGCCACUAAUAGCGGAGAAUAAACAUAGAGAUUAUGGUAGGGUACAAAACCACCUCAAAGUUAUUCUUUUGGAUCAAUCUAUUCAAGAGUUCGUACUAGAAUAACACCUUACAACACAAAUCAACCAAAACCCUCAUGUCACCUAGAUACUCCAUUGUCACCUCAAGUAUCCGUGGGCAUGAUUAUACGAUAUGCAUCACACAAUCUCAGAUUCAUCCAACCAACACAAAGUACUUCAAAGAGUGCCCCAAAGUUUCUACCAGAGAGUCAAGAACGUGUGCCAACCCCUAUGCAUAGGUUCAUGGGCGGAACCCACAAGUUGGUCACCAAAACAUACAUCAAGUGGCACAUGAUAUCCCAUUUUCACCGCAGAUAAGCACGGCAAGACAUACAUCAAGUGUUCUCAUAAAAGACUCAAUCUGAUAAGAUAAAUUCAAGAGGGAAACUCACUUUAUCACAAGAGAGUAGAGGGGGAGAAACAUCAUAAGAUCCAACUAUAAUAUCAAAGCUCGGGAUACAUCAAGAUCAUGCCAUAGAGGGAACACGAGAGAGAACACGAGAGAGAGAGAGAGAGAGAGAGAGAGAGAGAUCAAACACAUAGCUACUGGUACAUACCCUCAGCCCCGAGGGUGAACUACUCCCUCCUCGUCAUGGAUAGCGCCGGGAUGAUGAAGAUGGACACAGGUGAAGGAUCCCCCUCCGGCAGGGUGCCGGGAAGAUCUCCCGAGAGGUUUUUGGUGGCUACAGAGGCUUGCGGCGGAGGAACUCCCGAUCUAUCUUGAUAUUCGAUGGUUUUAGGGUAUGUAGGCUUAUAUAGGUGAAACAAGUCGGUCGGGGGGUGUGAUGAAGUCAUGUACCUAGGGUAGGGUUACGGACCUAUCCAAGGUACCCUCCCCAAGGGCAUCUCUUAGAAGAAGCCGUGUUCCAGUCGACCAAGAGGGAUUCCACUCGACCGGCUAGAAGACACUCGACGAACCUGAAGACACUCGACCAUGAAGACUCACUCGACCAUCAGAAGUUCAAGAUCUACUAUGUAUCCAAACGAUCUGUAAUUAAGUAGUCUUUAUGGCCAUGAUGACACUUUAUAUAGGGUGUUACCAGUAACGCCUAGCCUUAAUGUACUUUAACCCGCCGCUACGUGGGCUGGCUGGGGUCCUGGCGUCCUCUAUAUAAGCCACCCCCCUCCACUGGUAGAAGGGUUCGCACCCCUAUACCUUUCACACACGUAAUCCAGUCGACCGCCUCCGGGCUCUGAGACGUAGGGCUGUUACUUCCUCCGAGAAGGGCCUGAACUCGUAAAACACUCGUGUGUACAACUGCUCCAUAGCUAGGAUCUUGCCUCUCCAUACCUACCCCCCAUUCUACUGUCAGACUUAGAACCAUGGCAGUUGGCGCCCACCGUGGGGCCGGUGUCUUAGCGACUUGUUGGAGAAGUUGCAAUCUUUUCAAUUCCCAUCGUCAUGGUUUCAGGUGGAGUUUUGGUUGAGGGCCGCAAGAUCCGUCUCGGCGCGCUCACAUUCAUCGCCGACGACUCUGCCUGGCUGCAGGAGGCCCGCUCGACGUGGAUGCGCUCCCGGUCCGCGGAGCUACGCAUUUUUGAGCGUGCGUCCGCGGCGUCCUUCUGCGGCAACCGUCGACUCAGUAUCGGCCGGUUUUCGUGUCAUCCUCCCUGCCAGCUUCCCGCCGGCGUAAGCGCUCCGGUCGAUCGAGGCUUCAGCGGUGGGUGAGGCACGCAGUGGCUCGCCAGUCGACCACUGCCCAAGUCGCGGCAAUCAAGCCCGACGAAUCUCUCUACGGCCUGUUCGAUCUGUCAACUCGCUCCAACAGAGACUGCAUCCGAAUGCGACAGCAGUGAUCCGGCGGCGGAGGUCCUGAUGGUCAAUGGACCGCAUGUUCCCCCCGGCUUUCCUGGCACCGAGGGAGGCAACGGAGGAGGCGACCCGUCACACAACCAUGAAGAGUACCACCCCGAGCCCCUCAACUCACAGCAGAGGGAAGAGCUUCGCCGCUGGAACAUGGAUGCGCUUCAUACUCCGAUCGUUGGAGAAACCCCUGAGGCUCACGCCUUAGAGGAUGCACGCUUGGCCAACCUGGCUGAGCGCACUCGACUGGAGAACCUUCAGCGGGCACUCGACGAGCGCGCACGGCAACGGAUUCCAGACUCCAGUCGACGCCAACUCUUUAAACCUCCGACUCAGGUAUACCGCACUCCAAUCCAGAAUUUGGCAGCUGCAACACGUAUAGCAGAGUCGAUUCAGCCUUCCUAGUCAGAGGCUGGCAGAGGCUUGAUGCAGAUCAGGGAUUUGCUCCGGGCAGCUAGGGAUCAGAAUUCGGCUGUGUCGCAGUCGCGGAACAGGAUUCAUAGCAGGUCCGUGGCGGCGAAUACUGUCCAGUCUGCUCAUAGCCCCAGAUCGCCCCCGAGGCGUGAAGGGCAUGGUGACCGACACGAUCAGUAUAGGAACUAUGAGCAGGAUGAUCACCGAGUCGAUCGCAACGAUCGACGUCGAGUGCCCACCCCUCCCCGGAGAGGUGGAUCAUAUAUGCCUCGACAGCAAGAUGACAGACGCCAGUACAGUGGCGGACGAAGAAUUCCAGUCGACCCUAGAGAACCAGGCUUUGACGCGAGAUCCAUCAUUGUUCAAGGUCUAGUCGACCAGAACAGAGCCCAUAGAGAGGGUAAUGACAGAGACAUACCCACCAGUAGCCAAGUGCACGUCUCCGGACCAGAGUGUUUCAGCAGAGCCAUCAGAGCCGCGGUGAUUCCUCCCAACUUCAGGUUGGCGACUGGAGUCAGCAAGUUCAAUGGUGAGUCCAAGCCCGACACUUGGCUUGAGGACUACCGAGUGGCUGUUCAGAACGGCGGUGGAAAUGACGAGGUGGCCAUGAAACAUUUGCCUCUCAUGUUGGAAGGGUCAGCCAGGGCAUGGCUGAAUUAGUUGACGCCCAGCAGCAUCUACACGUGGGAGGACCUCUCCCGAGUGUUUGUCAGGACAUUUGAAGGAACAUGCAAGCGGCCAGCAGGGCUGACAGAGCUGCAGUCUUGUGUGCAGAAGUUGAAUGAGACUCUGAGAGAUUACAUCCAGAGGUGGAUCACACUGCAUCAUAUAGUAGAAAAUGUAUCCGACCACCAGGCGGUCUGCGCCUUCAAGGAGGGUGUAAAGUAUAGAGAACUAAGCCUGAAAUUCGGUCGAACCGGAGACAUGUCUCUGAGUCGAAUGAUGGAAAUAGCCACCAAAUAUGACAAUGGUGAGGAAGAGGAUCGGCUCCGGAGCGGCAAACACAAGUCAGACGCCCAAGACAUCGGAGGUGGAAAUUCCAGUCGGAAGCAAAAGCGUAAAGCUGAGCCAGCCGCACCUGGAGAAGCCUUGGCCCUGAACCAAGGAAAAUUCAAAGGGAAACCCAAGGGGCCUUGGAACCCCAAGAAGGUAAAAGAUAAGGAAGGAAAUGACGUGUUGGAUUUGCCAUGUCACAUCCACACCAAGAAGGACGAAGAGGGUAAUUUCAUCUACCCGAAGCAUACCACUCAACAAUGUCGACUCCUGAUACAGUAGUUCCAAGGGAAGCAGUCCAAGGACAAAGAAAAAGAGUCAGACAAAGUUGAGGACAAGGAGGAUAGUGACGGAGAAUAUCCGCAGGUCAAUUCCACCUUGAUGAUUUUUGCCGAUGUUGAAAGCAAAAACCGACUAAAAGUUAUAAACCGAGAGGUGAACAUGGCUGCUCCGUCAACACUCAAUUACCUGAAGUGGUCUCAGACUGCCAUUACAUUCGACCAAUCUGAUCACCCCACGCACAUAGCCACCCAUGGGAGGCAAGCGUUGGUGGUCGACCCGGUCGUUGAGGGCACUCGACUGACCAAAGUGUUGAUGGAUGGCGGCAGCAGUUUGAAUAUAAUGUAUGCUGAGACGCUGAAAGGGAUGGGCAUUCCAAUGUCCAGGCUGAGCACAAGCAACAUGAGUUUUUAUGGAGUCAUCCCUGGCAAGAAGGCCGCAUCACUCGGCCAGAUUGCUCUUGACGUAGUUUUUGGUGAUUCAAAGAAUUUCCGCAAAGAGAAGCUGACGUUUGAGGUUGUGGAUUUCCAAAGUGCCUAUCAUGCAAUUUUGGGCAGGCCAGCUUAUGCACGUUUUAUGGCUCGACCAUGUUACGUGUACCUCAAACUAAAGAUGCCUGGCCCUAAAGGCAUGAUCACUGUCACUGGUAACCGCAAGAAGGCAGAAGAGUGCUUCCAGAAGGGCUCGAAAAUUGCUGAUGCUCAGAUGGUGGCUGAAGAGUGGCAGGAACACCAAAGGAACGCAGACCUGAGUGAUUUGUUGCGAGCCAAGAAGCCUGCCACGGAAUCAGCGUUUCAGUCGUCCGGUGAGACAAAACCCGUUCACAUCCACCCGACCGACCCAAACGCUGCUCCGACUCAUAUCUCCACAACACUCGACCCCAAAUAGGAAGAAGCGCUCAUCCAGUUCCUCCGUGAGAACUGGGACAUCUUCGCAUGGAAACCUUCUGACAUGCCGGGUGUACCCAGGGGACUGGCUGAGCAUUGUCUAUGAGUCGACUCGAAGGCAAAACCUGUGAAGGAACAUCUGCGACGGUCCGCCGUCCAGAAAAGAAAGGCCAUUGGCGACGAAGUGGCUCGGCUCCUAGCAGCAGAGUUUAUCCGAGAGAUUUACCACUCCGAGUGGCUUGCCAAUGUCGUCAUGGUCCCCAAAAAAGACAAUUCUCUUCGCAUGUGCAUCGAUUUCAAGCAUAUCAAUCGGGUCUGCCCGAAAGAUCAUUUUCCUCUUCCCCACAUCGACCAAAUAGUCGACUCGACUGCGGGAUGCGAGCGACUUUCUUUCUUGGAUGCUUAUUCCGGGUACCAUCAGAUCCGUCUGUUUGGACCCGAUGAGAUCAAAACGGCUUUCAUCACCCCAUUCGGGUGCUUCUGUUAUGUCACCAUGCCAUUCAGCCUCAAGAGUGCCGGAGCCACGUUCAUGAGGAUGAUUCAGAAGUGUUUGCUCACUCAAAUCAGUCGGAAUGUGGAAGCAUACAUGGAUGACAUUGUGGUCAAGUCACGGAAAGGUUCCGACCUGUUGACUGACCGAGCUGAAACAUUUGCCAACCUCAGGAGGUAUGAUAUCAAGCUUAAUCCAUCAAAAUGCACAUUCGGAGUUCCUGGUGGAAAGUUACUCGGUUUUCUCGUUUCUGAACGGGGAAUCGAUGCUAACCUAGAAAAAGUUGGCACUAUACUCCGAAUGAAACGCCCCGUGCAUGUGCACGAUGUCCAGAAACUUACUGGAUGCUUGGCCGCAUUAAGUCGAUUCAUCUCUCGCCUCGGUGAAAAGGUAUUGCCUCUUUACCGACUUAUGAAGAAGUCAGACAAGUUCGAGUGGACUCCAGAAGCUGAUGCAGCAUUUGUAGAGUUAAAAACCCUGCUUUCCACCCAGCCGGUGCUUGUUGCCCCAAUCAGCAAAGAGCCUUUACUGCUUUACAUUGCAGCCACAGGACAAGUCGUCAGUACUGUGCUCACGGUCGAGCGGGAAGAGGAAGGAAAAACCUUCAAAGUUCAGCGCCCAGUAUAUUACAUUUCUGAAGUCCUGACCCCAUCCAAGCAACGAUACCCUCAUUAUCAGAAGCUUGUAUAUGGGAUUUACAUGACCACGAAGAAAGUUGCCCACUACUUCUCUGACCAUGUUAUCACAGUCGUCAUCGACGCCCCCUUAUCAGAGAUUCUGCACAACAGAGACGCAACCGGUCGAGUGGCAAAAUGGGCGAUUGAACUUCUUCCCCUUGAUAUCAGAUUUGAGGCAAAGAAAGCUAUCAAGUCCCAAGCAAUAGCAGAUUUCCUCGCCGAGUGGAUGGAACAGCAGUUACCGACCCAAGUUCACUCGGAGCACUGGACUAUGUUCUUCGAUGGCUCCAAAAUGCUGAAUGGUUCCGGUGCCAGAGUGGUUUUGGUUUCCCCCCGAGGAGAUAAGCUCAGAUAUGUACUCCAGAUUCACUUUGAUUCCUCCAACAAUGAAGUAGAAUACGAAGCACUCUUGUAUGGGUUGCGUAUGGCCAUUUCACUUGGCGUCUGUCGCCUCAUGGUCUACAGCAACUCGGACUUAGUGGUCAACCAAGUGAUGAAGGAGUGGGACGUCAGAAGCCCGGCCAUGACUGGAUACUGCAAUGCAGUCAGAAAGCUGGAGAAGAAAUUUGAGGGAUUAGAGCUCCAUCACGUUCCCCGACUGAAAAAUCAAACAGCCGAUGACUUGGCGAAGAUAGGUUCCAAGAGGGAAGCCAUUCUGAGUGGUGUGUUUUUGGAGCAUUUUCACACGCCGUCGGUUCAAGAAGAUCCUUUCACUGAGGAAGUCCCGCUGCCAAAAAGUGCCACGGAUCCGACUGAAGUCGAGGUCCCAGCUGUGGUCGACUUGGUCAUGGAAGUUCUGGUCAUCACUCCCGAUUGGACAGUGCCCUAUAUCGCCUAUAUUCUGAGAAAAGAGCUCCCCGAGAAUGAAGAAGAGGCUCGGGAGAUCGUCCGCCGAUCCAAAGCCUUCACCGUCAUGAGGGGACAGUUAUACAGGGAAAGUGCGACUGGAGUCAGCCAGAAAUGCAUAACACCAGAAGAAGGUCGAAUGAUUCUCAACGACAUCCACUCGGGGACCUGCGGCCAUCAUGCGUCUUCUCGGACCAUCAUGGCUAAAGCAUACCGAGCUGGUUUCUAUUGGCCCAGAGCAAAUGAGAUGGCGAAAGAGAUAGUAGACAAGUGUGAAGGAUGUCAAUUUUACUCCAAUAUGUCACACAAACCCGCCUCAGCCUUGAAAACAAUUCCACUCGUCUGGCCCUUUGCUGUGUGGGGACUGGAUAUGGUUGGACCUCUGAGGACAGGCAGAAACGGCUACACCCAUGUGUUGGUAGCAGUCGACAAGUUCACUAAGUGGAUUGAGGCUAAACCCAUCAAGAAUCUGGAUGCCGGCACCGCCGUCAGCUUCAUCAGGGAGUUGGUAUUCAGAUAUGGAGUUCCACACAGCAUCAUCAUAGACAAUGGGUCAAAUUUCGACUCCGAAGAAUUUAGAGCUUUCUGCACAUCUCAGGGUACACAAGUCGACUAUGCUUCGGUCGCUCACCCCCAGUCGAAUGGACAAGCAGAACGUGCAAAUGGCUUGAUUCUCAAAGGGUUGAAACCCCGACUGAUACGCGACCUCAAGGACGCAGCCGGUGCAUGGGUCGACAAACUUCCAUCGGUGCUUUGGGGGUUAAGGACCACGCCAAACCAGUCGACUGGGAGGACUCCGUUCUUCUUGGUCUACGGAGCUGAAGCAGUCUUGCCGAGUGACCUGCUUCACAAUGCACCCCGAGUCGAACUGUACACCGAAGCUGAAGCAGAGCAAGCCCGACAGGACGCGGUCGACCUUCUAGAAGAAGAAAGAGAGAUGGCCUUGAUCUGAUCGACCAUUUACCAGGAGGACUUGCGUCGCUUCCAUGCCAGAAAUGUGAAGAGUCGAGCUUUCCAGGAGGGAGAUUUAGUUCUCCGAGUGGAUCAGCAGAAACCACACAAGCUUGCUCCUACUUGGGAAGGUCCCUUCAUCGUCACCAAAGUUCUCCAUGAUUGGGCAUACCGCCUUUACAAUGUCGAGCACCAGAUUGACGAGCCCAGAGCAUGGAACGCGGACUUACUCCGCCCUUUCUAUACUUAAGUUUUUCACUCGGAUGAGUUGUAAUAAAAGUACUCCUGUAGUGUAUUCAUCAAAGACAAGAGUUUCAUAAUUUUAUUAGUGAUUGUUAUUGCUUUUGCUCUCAUAAAUUUGUCCCCCAGUGGGUGGCUUAGCUGCGAACCCGUUUCGCCUAAGCUUGUAAAAAAUCCUACCGAGUGGUAAGCCAGCCUUCCACUCGGAGGUUUAGCUGCGAAUCCGUUUCGCCUAAGUUAAAACAAAAUCCUACCGAGUGGUGAGCCAGCCUCCCACUCGGAGGCUUAGCUGCAGUCCAAGUACUCGCCUAAGUAAACAAAAUCCUACCGAGUGGUAAGCCAGCCUUCCACUCGGGGGCUUAGCUGCAGCCCAGUGCUUGCCUAAGUUUUUGAAAAUCCUACCGAGUGAUAAGCCUGUCUUCCACUCGGAGGCUUAGCUGCAACCUUGUGUUCGCCUAAGAAUAAAAGACAUUGUACGCUUCGCAAGAAGGGCGAGGCGCAGGUCGACCCCCACUUCCUCCUUCCGAGCUACAUCACAAACACAACGUGCGUCCCGCAAGGAGGACGAAGCGUAGGUCGACUGCUACCUUCUCCUCCAAAGCCGUGCCACGAAAAUCCUACUGAGUGGAGAGCAAACCUCACACUCGGGGUCUUAGUUGCAGCCCAGUGCUCGCCUAAGUUUCUAAAAAUCCUGUCGAGUGGAGAGCAAACCUCCCACUUGGGGGCUUAGCUGCAGCCCAGUGCUCGCCUAAGUUUCUAAAAUCCUGCCGAGUGGAGAGCAAACCUCCCACUCGGGGGCUUAGCUGCAGUCUAGUACUCGCCUAAGUAUUUAAAAAUCCUACCGAGUGGAGAGCAAACCUCCCACUCGGGGGCUUAGCUGCAGCCCACUGCUCGCCUAAGUUUCUAAAAUCCUGCCGAGUGGAGAGCAAACCUCCCACUCGGGGGCUUAGCUGCAGCCCAGCGCUCGCCAAAGUUUCUAAAUUCCUGCCGAGUGGAGAACAAACCUCCCACUUGGGGGCUUAGCUACAGCACAGUGCUCGCCUAAGUUUCUAAAUUCCUACCGAGUGGAGAGAAAACCUCCCACUCGGGGGCUUAGCUGCAGCACAGUGCUCGCCUAAGUUUCUAAAAUCCUUCCGAGUGGAGAACAAGUUUCUCACUCGGGGGCUUGGUUGCAACCAAGCACUCGCCCAAACAUGACGAGCACAAGUCGACUGCAAUUUGUGCUUCACUCCUACCUGCAAAAAAGCAUUUCAGAUGCUAGCAUAUAUUCCAACCCAAAGAAGAUCGUUAUCCGAAAGAAGCAAACGUAUUUCAACGGCAAAUCAAGUUCGAAUAACGUCCUACGGACCCAAAAGUGCUCAGGCAUCAAGCCUGUUAAAGUUUGGUGGUUACAAAAAUCACUCGGCAUUCCGAGGCAAAUUCAAAUCAUCAAGCAUAGAAGUUUUUUAUCCCUCCUGCGGAGGGCUGGAAGGCGCAACAAACUCGUCCAGGUCAAUCCCAUCUGCGAUCCGAGUGGUAGCCGCGAUGAAGGUCUCCAUGAAAGAACGGAAGUUAUGCUUCCUAGUGUUGGCCACCUUGAGAGACACCAGCUUGUCUUCUCUCGCUUCUUUGCAAUGGACGCGGACCAAGGACAGAGCGACGUCAGCACCGCACCUGGCAGAAGACUUCUUCCACUCUUGCACUCGACUCGGAAUCUCGUUCAGUCGAGUCAUCAGUGACUCAAGGUCAUUCUGAAAUGUUUCUUCUGGCCAGAGCGAUGUGUCGAUGCGCGAUACAGCAGCCUUCAGUCUUGCAAGGUAAUCGACCACUGCAGCAAUGCGGGACUCGAGACGGAGCACGUUCAUAGCAGUUUCAUCCUUCACCAGAGAAUUUAUGGGAUCCAAGCCAGUCUCCACUCGACUAGUCUCCUCUUCAAAGUUUUGGCAGAAUUCUGUGGACAUGAUUCAGGAAUAAGCUAACACCCCUACAGCAAGUCAGUAACUACCAAUCGGAGGUAAGAGGUUACCUUCGAGCAUGAGGAACAGCUUUUUGGCGAGUCCUCCCAGAUAAAUCUCCAAGUCAUUCUUCUUUCCUGUCAGUUCACCAGCUUUGUCGUCCAGGACCAUAUUGGCAUUCUUCAGUCGAGUGACUUCUUGGUUGGCCACGUCAAGAGCAGCUUUCAGAUUAGUGUUUUCUUCUUCAAGUUUGUUGACGGAAGCCAACUUCUCUUCUGCAAGCCUAGUCUUGUCUGCAGCCGUUUUCUGCGCCUCGGCAAGGUCAAGGUCCUUCUUCUUCAAAGCAUCCCUCAGUUUUUCUGCGAAAAUCACAAUAAGAUCAGAUUCGAAGACACGCAAGAAGCGAGGACAGUCGUCAAGAUUCUCACCAAACAUACCUUUUGCCUCCUCCUUCGCCUUCGUGAAGUUCUCUUGGACAAGCUUUUGGUCAAGCUCAAGCUGGAUAUACUUGUUCUCAAAUUCGGUAUAACGAGAAACAAGGUCACAAGAUUUCUGUGAAAGUUCAGUCGACAAACAUCAACGGCAGAUCACUUCCAAGUGACUAAAGGAAAAAUCGCACUAUUUCUAAGACUAUAGAUGAAUCUAAACAUUCAACUGUAGUCUCGGGGACUACACCCAGUGGGUGCACUCAGCGUGCCCCCACUAGUUCUAUCAGCUAGACUCAGAGUCGAUCAGUUGACCAGAAGCAGUUAAUUGUCAAAAAAAAUUCAGACCAUAGCCGAUUGCCAGCAAUCGACCACGGUCUCGGGGACUACACCCAGUGGGUGCACUCAGCGUGCCCCCACCAGUUUCAUUAUUCCACUCGACCAUGGUCGAGUGGAACAAGUAAAGUGAGAAACCUCAAGACACAAAGACUAUAGUCGAUUGCCAGCAGUCCACUGUAGAAUUGACACACCCAGUGGGUGCAUGACAAAUAUCAAGAUUUCCAGUCAGUGUUCAACUAACCUGGACAUCUCUCUGGAGAGCUGAGCUCGCGUCAUAAGCUGCUUGGCUGGCGGUUCGGAUCGCCUUCACCUGCUCCAUCAUAAUCCCGGCCUAACGUAUGGCUUCCUUGGCAGCGUUUGCUUGGUCCUUCGGGAUGUGGUAGGUGGAGAAGAGAGAAGGCGGGUCCGCACUCGACGACGAAGGGCGGGCAACCGUCAACAGCUCCGCAAAGGACACGGUAGCCCGAGCAACAUUGCUCCCCUCGGGAAUCUGUGGUCCAGGUGCCGACGUAACCUGCGCAGCCUUGCCAACAGUCGCCUUCCUGCUCCUCCUCUGCCUCAGCGGUGCUUCGUCGUCAUCGUCAGGAAGAUUGAUGACAACGUUAGGCGGAGCUGCAGAAGAAGUUCGAAAUCAAAAAUAAAGAUUCAAUCGACCGGAAGCGAAACCGCGCAGAUCAUACCAGGCUGAGAAGUCGCAGCAUCUUCCAUUUCUUGAUCCUCAUGCCUGGCUGAAGUCUCAGAAGUAGCAGCACUGCGAUUUGCAAAUAUCAGUCGGUCAGCGAUUGAAUCGACCAAGAAUGGAAAACAUGAGUUAUGAUCGUUACCCAGAGACAGUCGGAAUCUCCAUCCUCAUCUUCGGUAGGGCUUUCGCCGGUUUUGACGAGGCCGCUCGGGGUUGCUUCGACACCUUUUCAGUCGGCGCUGGUGAAGUUGUCCGAGGACGUUUCGUCGACUGCCCAGUAGGCACGACUCCCUUGCCACAAUCAACCACAGGGUCGUGGGCGAGCUUGGACCUCCUUUCGGAACGAGGAGGCGCAACUUCCUCCUCCUCUUCCUCCUCCUCUUCCUCUUCGUCAGAACCUGCGUCUUCCUCACCCUCAUCGACGUCCGACUCCCACUCCUCUUGACUUUCGCCUCCGCUUCCUUCCUCCUCUUCGGCCUGUGCCUGCGCCCCGUUGGGCAUCGAGUACAACUCAGUGGUUUCCUGAAAGACAGCAAGCAAGACAAAGGUCAAUCGACUGAUUUACGACGAAACAGAAUAGAAGGAGCAGUCGGAGGUAAAUAGUCGUACCUUAUCCACCUCAUAAGAUUGGUCGAGUGGAACGAUCCUCCUAGCUCCACGAGGGUUGUCCUUGUUCCCCAUGAUGGCAGUCAUCCACCUCUCCAAUGUAGCAUCAUCGACCUCCUCUGGGUGGACCCGACUGGUAUCUUCAGUACCAGAAUACAGUCACAUCGGGUGACCCCGGUACUGGAGUGGUUGGAUGCGCCGCCGAAGGAAAACCUCCAGAAGGUCCAUGCCGGUCACGCUGUCACGAAUCAACUGAACUACUCGCUCCAUCAACAUUUUCACCUGAGCCUUCUCCUCCGGAACUACUUUCAGAGAGGAGGGCUUGUUCACUCGACUCAUAGAGAAGGGAGGGAGCCCGGUCGACUGCCCUGGCGUCGACCGGUGUUGGCAGUAGAACCAGGUCGACUGCCACCCUCUGGCCGACUCGGGAAGGGUCAUAGCAGGGAAAGCGCUCUUACUCCUCAUCUGGACCCCGAGACCCCCACACAUCUGGAUCACCUGGGUUCUCUCGUCAUUGGGGCUGGCCUUUUUCACCAUCUGAGAACGGCAAGUGAAUAUAUAUUUGAAGAGGCCCCAAUGCGGCCGACAACCCAAGAAAUUCUCACACAAAGAUACAAAGGCGGAGAUAUAGGCGAUGGAAUUUGGAGUAAAAUGGUGGAGCUGAGCUCCGAAGAAAUUCAGAAAUCCUCGGAAGAAAAGAUGCGGCGGCAGAGAAAACCCUCGAUCUACAUGAGUCGCCAAGAGGACGCACUCACCCUCCUGAGGUUGCGGUUGCCACUCCGCUCCCGGAAGCCUCGCUGCUCCGUGCUCGAUCAGCCCCUCAUUGGCUAGGUCAUCGAGGUCCUUCUGGGUGAUGGUCAAGCGGAUCCAAUCCCCUUGGAUCCAACCCUGCGGCAGGCGAGACCGCGAUGAGGAUCCGCCCCGACUGGGCGCUCUCCCCUUCGCUUGCGUCGUCACCUUCUUCGCCCGCUCCAGAGCCGCCGUCUUCUCCUUCACCAUUGUCACCGACGAAGCUGGAACAGAGCAGCGGCGCUGAGCAGUUGGCGAGCGCAGCAGAUGAAUCUAGAGCCGAGGGAGGAGAAAAUGAGGAGGCACUGUUCGGAAAACCUCCGCCUGGUUCCUUAUAUGGGGUCACUUCUGAGUGGCUGAUGGGUGGGCCCAGGCAAUCCUGUCAAAUCCCGAAACAGUCGCGCACGCGAUAUGUGGCGAAAAAGGCGGCACGGGAAUCAAGGCGUCCCUGCCUUAUCCCAUCUGAGUACCGCGGCCUUCUCCGCUUCACGCGCUCCCCAAAAUUCGGAUCCCACUAAAUCCGCUAACCACAGGGCAACUUGUCAGACGGAAGAUCUCCUGCGAUCCGUCGCUCGGAAAUCUCCAAGUUCAUAAAGUUCACUCGACAGAUAUAAAGAAUGGAUCAAGGAGACUGAACGAAAGUUGACACCCUCACUUGAAAGUCAUUGAUCCAGAGCAAAAACACCUUUACAGUACCAGAAAGCAGGUCGGAAAGAUUGCCAACUCCGUCCUCACUCAAACAUCGAUCCAUUCGGGGGCUACUGAUGAAGUCAUGUACCUAGGGUAGGGUUACGGACCUGUCCAAGGUACCCUCCCCAAGGGCAUCUCUUAGAAGAAGCCGUGUUCCAGUCGACCAAGAGGGAUUCCACUCGACCGGCUAGAAGACACUCGACAAACCUGAAGACACUCGACCAUGAAGACUCACUCGACCAUCAGAAGUUCAAGAUCUACUCUGUAUCCAAACGGUCUGUAAUUAAGUAGUCUUUAUGGCCAUGAUGACACUUUAUAUAGGGCGUUACCAAUAAUGCCUGGCCUUAAUGUACUUUAACCCGCCGCUACAUGGGCUGGCUGGGGUCCUGGCGUCCUCUAUAUAAGCCACCCCCUCCACUGGUAGAAGGAUUCGCACCCCUGUACCUUUCACACACGUAAUCCAGUCGACCGCCUCCGGGCUCCGAGACGUAGGGCUGUUACUUCCUCCGAGAAGGGCCUGAACUCGUAAAACACUCGUGUGUACAACUGCUCCAUAGCUAGGAUCUUACCUCUCCAUACCUACCCCCCAUUCUACUGUCAGACUUAGAACCACGACAGGGUGCUCGAGGGGUCCAUGAGACAGGGGGCGCGCCCAAUAGGGGGGCGCCCAGUAGGGGGGGUGCCCCCCUCUCUCCUGGGCUCCUCGAGUAUCUUCUGACGUGGACUCCAAGUCUCCAGGAUGAUAAUCUUCCAAAAAAUCAUGUUGCCGAAGGUUUCAUUCCGUUUGGACUCUGUUUGAUAUUCCUUUUCUUCAAAAUACUGAAACAGACAAUAAAACGGCAAUAUGGGCUGGGCCUCUGGUUAAUAGGUUAGUCCCAAAAGUAAUAUAAAAGUGUAUAAUAAAGCCCAUAAUCAUUCAAAACAGGUAAUAUAAUAGCAUGGAACAAUCAAAAAUUAUAGAUACCUUGGAGACGUAUCAAGCAUCCCCAAGCUUAAUUCCUACUCGUCCUCGAGUAGGUAAAUGAUAAAAACAGAAUUUUUGAUGUGGAAUGCUACCUAGCAUGAUUCUCAAUGUAAUUUCUCUUUAUUGUGGCAUGAAUGUUCAGAUCCAAAUGAUUCAAAAUAAAAGUUCAUAUUGACAAAAGAAAUAGUAACACUUCAAGCAUACUAAUAAAAGUAAUCAUGUCUUCUCAAAAUAACACGGCAAAAGAAAGUUCAUCCCUACAAAAUCAUAUAGUUAGGCUAUGCUUCAUUUUCAUCACACAAAGAUGUUCCCAACUUCUAUACCCCCGAUGAUAAGGCAAACAAUUGUUUCGUACUUAAAUAAUCUCAAACUUUUUCAACCUUCACGCAAUACAUGAGCGCGAGCCAUGGAUAUAGCACUAAGGGUGGAAUAGAAUAAUGAUUGGGGAUUGUGUAUAGAAGACAAAAAAGGAGAAAGUCUCACAUUGACGAGGAUAAUCAACGGGCUAUGGAGAUGCCCAUCAAUUGAUGUCAACAUGAGGAGUAGGGAUUGCCAUGCAACGUAUGCACUAGAGCUAUAAAUGAAUGCUCAACAAAAGUAAACUAGUGGGUGUGCAUCCAAUCUUGCUUGCUCACGAAGACCUAGGGCAUUUGAGGAAACCCAUCGUAGGAAUAUACAAGCCAUGUUCUAUAAUGAAAAAUUCCCACUAGUAUGAAAAAGACAACCUAUGAGACUCACUAUAUGAAAAACAUGGUGCUACUUUGAAGCACAAUAUAUGAGACUCACUACAUGAAGAACAAAGUGCUACUUUGAAGCACAAGUGUGGAAAAAGAGAUAGUAGCAUUACCCUUUUUAUUUAUUUCUUCUUUUUUCUUUUUCUUUUUCUUUUUCCUUUUUUUGGGCCUUUCUUCUUUUUUUUCUUUUUUUUCUUUUUGGGCAAUGCUCUAAUAAUGAUGAUCAUCACACUUCUAUACAACAUAAGAAUUACAACUCGAAACUAGAACAAGAUUUGACUCUAUACGAAUGCCUCCGGCGGUGUACCGGGAUGGUGCAAUGAAUCAAGAGUGACAUGUAUGAAAAAUUAUGCAUGGUGGCUUUGCCACAAAUACGAUGUCAACUACAUGAUCAUGCAAUGGCAAUAUGACGAAAGUAAUGCGUGUCAUAAUGAUAAUGAACGGAACGGUGGAAAGUUGCAUGGCAAUAUUAUCUCGGAAGGGCUAUGGAAAUGCCAUAAAUAGGUAGGUAUGGUGGCUGUUUUGAGGAAGAUAUAAUGAGGCUUAUGUGUGAUAGAGUGUAUCAUAUCACGGGGUUUGGAUGCACCAGUGAAGUUUGCACCAACUCUCGAGGUGAGAAAGGGCAAUGCACGGUAUCGAAGAGGCUAGCAAUGAUGGAAAGGUAAAAGUGAGUAUAAUCCAUGGACUCAACAUUAGUCAAAAGAACUCAUAUACUUAUUGCAAAAAUUUAGAAGUCAUCAAAAACCAAGCACUACGCGCAUGCUCCUAGGGGGAUAGAUUGGUAGGAAAAGACCAUCACUCGUCCCCGACCGCCACUCAUAAGGAUGCACAAGCCAGGUACACUACAUGUUUCAAAUUUUUUACACAACUUUAACCAUACGUGCAUGCUAUGGGACUUGCUAACUUCAACACAAGCAUUCUUUAAAUUCAUAAUCACCCAACUAGCAUGACUUUAAUAUCACUACCUCCAUAUCUCAAAACAAUUAUCAAGUAUGAAAUUGAUCAUAGCAUCCAAUUCACUUCCUAUGAUAGUUUUCAUCCAAAUAACCAUGUUGUUUAAGACUCUCUCUCAUUUAAGAAUUUCAGAUCUUGGUAUUGUAUUCAAAUAGCAAGCAAAACAAAAUAAAAUGACAUUUCAAGGAUAGCACAACUCAUGUGAAGAAGCAAAAACUUAGGCUCAACCGAUACUAACCGAUGAUUGUUGAAGAAGAAAGGUGGGAUGCCUACCGGGGCAUCCCCAAGCUUAGAUGCUUGAGACUUCUUGAAAUAUUAUCUUGGGGUGCCUUGGGCAUCCCCAAGCUUGAGCUUUUAUGUCUCCUUAAUUCCUCUCAUAUCAUGGUUUCUUUUUUUUAUCUAAAGCUUCAUUCACAACAAACUCAACAAGAACUCGUGAAAUAGGUUAAUAUAAACCAAUGUUGGGGAUAUCGCUUAUCAGGAACUUAUCGGCCGACCCAUGAUAAGGGGUAAAUCGGCCAGUUUAUCAGCAUAUCAGCCAAUUUAUCGCCAUAUCGGCUGAUUUAUCGGUCAAUUUACCUUAUCGGUCAGACAACGGUAAGCGAUAAAUCGGACGAUUUAUAGGAAUAUCGGAAGAUAUCUUGAACAGUGGUAUAAACCAAUGCAAAACCUUAUCAUUUUCUACUGUAACAAAUUACUAAAAUUAUUAUUCAACAUUGCAUACUAAAUUCCUCUGCAUAUUUAAUACUCCUAUCAUCAAAUAGAAUCAUUAAACAAGCAAACAUAUGCAAACAACGCAAACAUAACAGCAAUCUGCCAAAACAGUACAGUCUGUAAACAAUGCAAGAGUAUCAAUACUUCCCUAACUCCAAAAAUUAUGAGAGAAAAUUCUCACUGUAAUAAAUUUAUCAUAGCUUAAUAUGCAAAAAUGUUCAACAUUAUACCAUUCUCUGACUUCUCUAGGGAAUUUUUGCAACAGCGGUAAACUUUCUGUUUUCAAACAGCAACAUGCAUACUUGCAAAAUAAGCAUGGUAAAGGUUAUCCUUGACUUUUUUAUUGAAACUAGAGAUGCAAAAGAUUAAUCCAAAUAACAGCAAGCAAAUACUAACAAAAUAAAAUGACGCUCCAAGCAAAACAUAUAUCAUGUGGCGAAUAAAAAUAUAGCUCCAAGUAAAGUCACCGAUGAACGAAGACGAAAGAGGGGAUGCCUUCCGGGGCAUCCACAAGCUUAGGCUCUUGGUUGUCCUUGAAUAUUACCUUGGGGUGCCUUGGUAAUCCCCAAGCUUAGGCUCCUGCCACUCUUUAUUCCAUAGUCCACCGAAUCUUUACCCAAAACUUGAAAACUUCAACCACACAAAACUCAAAACAAAACUCGUAAGCUCCAUUAGUAUAAGAAAAUAAAUCACCUCUUAGGUACUGUAAUGAACUCAUUCCAAAUUCAUAUUGGAGUAAUAUAUACUGUAUUCCAACUUUAAUAUGGUUCAUACCCUCCGAUACUACUCAUAGAUUCAUCAAAAUAAGCAAACAACAAAUAGAAAACAGAAUCUGUCAAAAACAGAACAGUCUGUAGUAAUCUGUAUCAAACGUAUACUUAUGGAACUCAAAAAAUUCUGAAAUAAGAUGCUGGACCUGAGGAAUUUGUCUAUUAAUCACCUGCAAAAAGAAUAAACCUAAAAGCACUCUUCAGCAAACAAUGGCAGAUAAUCUCGUGAGCGCUAAAGUUUCAGUUUUUUACAGCAAGAUCACAUAAACUUCACCCAAGUCUUCCCAAAGGUUCUACUUGGAACUUUAUUAAAACAAAAGCUAUAAAACAUGAUUACUAUAGUAGAAUAAUCAUGUGGACACACAAAAACAGUAAGGGUAAAUAUUGGGUUAUCUCCCAACAAGCGCUUUUCUUUAAUGCCUUUUUAGCUAGGCAUGAUGAUGGCAAUGAUGCUUACAUAAAAGAUAAUAAUUAAAACAUAAAGGGAGCAUCAUGAAGCAUAUGACUAGCACAUUUAAGCCUAACCCACUUCCUAUGCACAGGGAUUUUGUGAGCAAACAACUUAUGAGAACAAUAAUCAACUAGCAUAGGAAGGUAAAACAAGCAUAGCUUCAAAUUUUUCAACACAUAGGAAGGAAACUUGAUAUUAUUGCAAUUCCUACAAGCAUAUGUUCCUCCCUCAUAAUAAUUUUCAGUAGAAUCAUGAAUGAAUUCAACAAUAUAACCAGUACCUAAAGCAUUCUUUUCAUGAUCUACUAGCAUAGAAAUUUUACUACUCUCCACAUAAGCAAAUUUCUUCUCAUGAAUAAUAGUGGGAGCAAACUCAACAAAAUAACUAUCAUGUGAAGCAUAAUCCAAAUGAAAACUAAAAUCAUGAUGACAAGUUUCAUGGUUAUAAUUAUUCUUAAUAGCAUACAAGUCAUCACAAUAAUGAUCAUAGAUAGCAACUUUGUUCUCAUAAUCAAUUGGAACCUCUUCCGAAAUAGUGGAAUCAUCACUAAAUAAAGUUGACACUCUUCCAAAUACACUUUCAUAUUCAUCACAAUAAGAUUCAACAUCCUCCAAAAUAGUGGGAUCACUACUUCCUAAAGUUGACACUCUUCCAAACCCACUUUCAUCACUAUAAUCAUCAUAAAUAGGAGGCAUGCUUUCAUCAUAAUAAAUUUUCUCAUCAGAACUUGGGGGAAAAAUAUCAUAUUGAUCAAAUAUAGCUUCCCCAAGCUUGUGGCUUUGCAUAUCAUUAGCAUCAUGGAUAUUCAAGGAAUUCAUACUAACAACAUUGCAAUCAUGCUCAUCAUACAAGGAUCUAGUACCAAAUAUUCUAUAGAUUUCUUCUUCUAGCACUUGAGCACAAUUUUCCUUUUCAUCAUACUCACGAAAGAUAUUAAAAAGACGAAGCGUAUGAGACAAACUUAACUCCAUUUUUUUGUAGUUUUAUUUUAUAAACUAAACUAGUGAUAAAACAAGAAACAAAAAGAUUCGGUUGCAAGAUCUAAAGAUAUACCUUCAAGCACUCACCUCCCCGGCAACGGCGCCAGAAAAGAGUUGGUUGACAGGGUGUGAGUGCCGCUUACCUAGCCUCCCCGGCAACGGCGCCAGAAAAGAGCUUGAUGUCUACUACACAACCUUCUUCUUAUAGACGUUGUUGGGCCUGCAAGUGCACAGGUUUGUAGGACAAUAGCAAAUUUCCCUCAAGUGGAUGACCUAAGGUUUAUCAAUCCGUAGGAGGCGUAAGAUGAAGAUGGUCUCUCUCAAACAACCCUGCAACCAAAUAACAAAGAGUCUCUUGUGUCCCCAACACACGCAAUACAAUGGUAAAUUGUAUAGGUGCACUAGUUCGGCGAAGAGAUGGUGAUACAAGUGCAAAAUGGAUAGUAGAUAAAGGUAUUUGUAAUCUGAAAUUAUAAAAACAGCAAGGUAACAAGUGGUAAAAGUGAGCGUAAACGGUAUUGCAAUGGUAGGAAACAAGGCAUAGGGUUCAUACUUUCACUAGUGCAAGUUCUCUCAACAAUAAUAACAUAGACAGAUCAUAUAACAAUCCCUCAACAUGCAACAAAGAGUCACUCCGAAGCCACUAAUAGCGGAGAACAAACGUAGAGAUUAUUAUAGGGUACGAAACCACCUCAAAGUUAUUCUUUCGGAUCAAUCUAUUCAAGAGUUCGUACUAGAAUAACACCUUAAGACACAAAUCAACCAAAACCCUAAUGUCACCUAGAUACUCCAUUGUCACCUCAAGUAUCCGUGGGCAUGAUUAUACGAUAUGCAUCACACAAUCUCAGAUUCAUCCAACCAACACAAAGUACUUCAAAGAGUGCCCCAAAGUUUCUACCGGAGAGUCAAGAACGUGUGCCAACCCGUAUGCAUAGGUUCAUGGGCGGAACCCGCAAGUUGGUUACCAAAACAUACAUCAAGUGGCACAUGAUAUCCCAUUGUCACCAUAGAUAAGCACGGCAAGACAUACAUCAAGUGUUCUCAUAAAAGACUCAAUCCGAUAAGAUAACUUCAAGAGGGAAACUCAAUUCAUCACAAGAGAGUAGAGGGGGAGAAACAUCAUAAGAUCCAACUAUAAUAGCAAAGCUCGGGAUACAUCAAGAUCGUGCCAUAGAGGGAACACGAGAGAGAACACGAGAGAGAGAUAUCAAACAUAUAGCUACUGGUACAUACCCUCAGCCCCGAGGGUGAACUACUCCAUCCUCGUCAUGGAUAGCGCCGGAAUGAUGAAGAUGGCCGCCAGUGAAGGAUCCCCCCUCCGGCAAGGUGCCGAGAAGAGCUCCCGAGAAGUUUUUGGUGGCUACAGAGGCUUGCGGUGGCGGAACUCCUGAUCUAUCUUGAUAUUCAAUGGUUUUAGGGUACGUAGGCUUAUAUAGGCGAAAGAAGUCGGUCGGGGGGUGCUCGAGGGGUCCACGAGACAGGGGGCGCGCCCAGUAGGGGGGCGCCCCCUAUCUCCUGGGCUCCUCGAGUAUCUUCUGACGUGGACUCCAAGUCUCCAGGAUGAUAAUAUUCCAAAAAAUCACGUUGCCGAAGGUUUCAUUCCGUUUAGACUCCGUUUGAUAUUCCUUUUCUUCGAAAUACUGAAACAGGCAAUAAAACAGCAAUAUGGGCUGGGCCUCCGGUUAAUAGAUUAGUCCCAAAAGUAAUAUAAAAGUGUAUAAUAAAGCCCAUAAUCAUUCAAAAUAGGUAAUAUAAUAGCAUGGAACAAUAAAAAAUUAUAGAUACGUUGGAGACGUAUCAUGAUGUAAUGUUAUCCACCUUGCAAAAGCGUCUCCAAUAUGCGCUUCUAUCCUUGGUGGGACCUUCAAGUUCCUUUAGGAUAGGGUCGCAUAUUGGGCGUGACAAGUUGGUAUCAGAGCCUCGACCAACCAUAGGAGCCCCCCCUUGAUUGAUCGUAGUUGGUCGUUGUCGAGUCUAGAAGAAAACUAUUUCUGAGUCUAGUUAUAUCGGAGAGUAGGAAUCCUUUAACUCCUCGGCCCCUUCGUCGCUCUGGUGAGGAUUCUUGACGUAGGUGUUUUGAAUUACUCCUCUUCCCUUUCAAACUUUCUUUAGGAUCACGCAGUUAGUUUUCCGAUCAUUGUUCCUCAGCUCUUUGCAUCUGGUGCAUUUCUCGUCAAGGUGAUUCGACCCUCUCCGUUUUUGCAAGUUCAAUCCUCAGUUGUUUUCUUUUCCCACUCGCCCACCCCUUUUCUUCUUGGAGCCGGAGUCUGUAAUCGAGUAUCCAUCCUACUCGUGUGAAGCAUUUGCAUUCUCUCUUCAAUUAUUUCAACCGGUGUUUUCUCUUCAAGUUAUUUGUUGAUUCCCUCCUUCCAAGUUGCCUUUGUUUUUCCCUUUCCCACGAUCUUACCUGACUCUUUUAAUUCUUCUGGAGUUAUUCUCAAAUUCUUUUCAAGUGUGACAUAAGAAUGGAUCCCAUCAGUCACAUGCCUUCUCCAAGAUCUCUUUCAAAUUCUUUUCAUUGUUGGCUCAACCUCUCUCGCUUUUCAUUCUUCCGGAGUGUCUCAACAAUUUUUGGUGGUGUUCCUCGUUGCCAUUCUCAACUUUGAAGACCGAAGAAGAGUUUCCCUUAAAUCUUGUCCGCUCUCCCGGAGAUUCGCGGUGCUAGCUCGAUGUCAUCCUAUCAAAUUGUUUCAAUCGUGAAAAUUCUUUUCAAUCAUUCGAUGCAUUUCGGGAGUUGCUUUCUCUCUCGACCAUCUGGAGGCCAUCAUUUCGAAAGAUUUCUUCGUUCUCAAUUUUCAGCUUCAUUCUAUGAUUAUUCUCAAUUCUUGCCACUUCGUUCGUCUCCAUAUUCUUCCGGUGAUUCCUUCAAGUAUUCUUCAAUCAGUUCGCGAUCUCUUCGUUCUCUUGUUUCCAAAUUCCCUCAAGUAUCUUUGUGCUUGCUCUAAUUCUUUCUGGCGAUUCGUUCUCUUCUCUUUGUUCGUUUUCAUUUUCACGGUGGUUCGUUGAAGAUUCCUUUUUUGUUCUUAUCAUAUCAAUUCAUUCGUUCUUUCCAAUCCUACCGGUGGCUCAUGAAGACCUUCCCAAUUUUGCGCUAUAUCUCCCGGUAAUCCUUUUCCAACGCGAAUAAGUUGUAUGCAAUCCUUUGCUUCUCAUCAAUUUAAUUGAUGGAGGUUAAGCAUAACAUAAUUCUUAUUCUUCUUUCAUCAAGUUGAUUAAUUCCUUCCUUUCGGAGGUUGUUCAUGAUGAAUAAUCUCUCGGUUCCAAGCUAAUCAUCUUUUCUUUUCCAGAGUUCCAAGUUUUUUCUAGCUUGUCUCGUCGUGAAGCUCCAUCUAAAUCAUCGCAAUGCUUAAUCUUAUUCUUUCUUCCUUGAUUCUAUCUCAUCAUCUUUUUUUCACCGAAGUUCUUCAUGGUGGUUCUUCAUGAUUUAAUUCAUUCUUCAAGAGUUCAUCAAGAUUUUGUUGGUGGAGUUCAAGUAUCUUUUCUUCUCACGUCUUGAAGUGCAAAUAAUUCUCCGUAUUCUUCUGAAGUGGAGUUUUGCAUUUUCUUCGCUCUUCUCGGCUUUUCAAACAUUUGGUUGUGGUAUAAUUUCACCAAGUUUUGAGAUUUUUUUCCAUAAGCCCUCAACAAGAUGAUUCUUUUGUUGUUGAUUUUCUCAACAACUCCGUUCAAUAUUUCCUUCUAAGUUCUUUUCAUUCCACUAUUUCAAUUCUCCCGGAGGCAUUGCGUGUUCAUCUCGCAAAGUGUCAUUCCAUCUUGUGAAGUUCAUGUUCUAUUUCUUCCUUUUUCAGUCGGAGUGCUGCCCAAAUUCUUUUGUUCAUAUUCCUUUCCUAUCUUGUUCUAACCGGAGUGGUUUCAGAGUCUAUCUUGUUUCAUUGAGCUUUUGAUUCUUGUCAUAUUCGCCGUUCUUCUUCUCUACCCGAGUGCUCAUGAUUUGGUUCAUCUUUUCUCUUGCGUUCUUACUUCACCUUCUUCCUCUUUCUCUUCCGUCUUGUUCCUAAGAUCUCGGGACGAGAUCUCUUGUUAGUGGAGGAGAGUUGUAACACCCCGGAUCCGAUGCGCCAGGUGUCUUCCAGUCAUUUGUCGUCGUUGCCAUGUCAUUUGCUUGUGUGUUGCACCGUUGCUCCGUUUUGAGCAUGCUCUACAUGAAACUUGCUUAGAAUUUCAUGUAGUUUCAUCUUGUCAUGUUGAAUCCAUAUUUUGAGAGUGUUUGCUUGAUGUUUGAAUGUAUUUUGCAUCAAUGUCAUGUUUGACUUGUUUUGAUCAUAUCUUCUAGGUCGUAGCUCCGAACUAAAUGAACUUUAUAUGUAACUUGACUAGAAUUUCGUAUAGAUCAUCUGGUGCAUUUUAAAUUGCUGUUUUACAACUUGAACAUAAGGUUUAUUCAGAUCUAGACCAAUUUCGAAAUUUGCAUAUGAGGACUUACCGGACUUGUUAUAUGUUGUUUUCGGCCUCAUUUAAACUUGCUUUGAUGUGUUGUUCUUAUAUGCAUCAUCUCUUGCCAUGAGUAGCCUCAUAUAGCCUUUGUAAUGCAUCAUGCUUGGUUGUGCAUCAUGUCAUGUUUAUGUGUUGUGUGUUUACCUUGUUGUUUGCUUCUUUCCGGUUGUUCUUCUUCAUAGUUCCUGUUUUGUUGCGAUCGCGAGGAUUCGUUCGUCUACGCUUGGUUCGUCUUCGCCCGUUCGUCUUCUUCGUGGACUCGUUCUUCUUCCUAGCGGGAUUUUAGGCAAGAUGACCGCUACCCUGGAUCUCACUACUAUCAUUGCUAUGCUAGUUGCUUCGUUCUAUCGCUAUGUUGCGCUACCUAUCACUUGCUCUUCAAGCCUCCCAAAUUGCCAUGUCAGCCUCUAACCUUUUCACCCUUCCUAGCAAACUGUUGCUUGGCUAUGUUAGCUCUUUGCUCAGCCCCUCUUAUAGCAUUGUUAGUUGCAGGUGAAGUUGAAGAUUGCUCCAUGAUGGACAUGAUUAUGUUGGGAUAUCACAAUAUCUCUUAUUUAAUUAAUGCAUCUAUAUACUUGGUAAAGGGUGGAAGGCUCGGCCUUAUGCCUGGUGUUUUGUUCCACUCUUGCCGCCUUAGUUUCCGUCAUACCGGUGUUAUGUUCCUUGAUUUUGCGUUCCUUGCGCGGCCGGCUGUAUGGGACCCCCUUGACAGUUCACUUUGAAUAAAACUCCUCAGCAAGGCCCAACCUUGGUUUUAAGAUUUGCCACCUAAGCCUUUUUCCCUUCGGUUUCCGGAGCCCGAGGGUCAUCUUAUUUUACCCCCAGGUCCAGUGCUCCUCUGAGUGUUGGUCCAAACUAGAGCACCAUGCGGGACCAUCCCUUGGCAACUUGGGUUAUGUUGGUACUUGUACGCUUAGCUUAUUCGAUGUGCCCUGAGAACGAGAUAUGUGCAGCUCCUAUCGGGAUUUGUCAGCACAGUCGGGUGGUCUUGCUGGUCUUGUUUUACCAUUGUCGAAAUGUCUUGUAACCGACUGAUCGGGUCUUCCUGGGAGAAGGAAUAUCCUUCAUUGGUCAUGAGAGCUUAUAAUGGGCUAAGUUGGGACACCCCUGCGGGGAUUAAACUUUCGAAAGCCGUGUCCGCGGUUAUGUGGCAGAUGGGAAUUUGUUAACGUCCGGUUGUAGAGAACUUGACACCAGAUUCGAAUUAAAAUACCCAACUGUGUAUGUAACCGUGAUGGUCUCUUUUCGAGUGGGUCGAGAAGUGAACACGGUUUGUGUUAUGUUUGAACGCAAGUAGUUUCAGGAUCACCCCUUGAUCACUUCUAGCUUCUCGACGUUGGGUUGCUUCUCUUCUCGCUCUUAUUUGUGUAUGUUAGCCACCAUAUAUGCUUAGUCGCUGUUGCAACCUCACCACUUAUCCUUUCCAUACCCACUAAGCUUUGCUAGUCUUGAUACCCAUGGUAAUGGGAUUGCUGAGUCCUCGUGCCUGACAGUUUACUACAACAAUAGUUGCAGGUAUAGGUUAUGCGAUGAUUAUGAUGCGAGAGCGAUGUUUGCUUGUUUUGGAGUUCUUCUUCUGCUUCUUCUUUGAUCAGGGGAUAGGUUCCAGGUCGGCAACCUGGGCUAGCAGCGUGGAUGUCGUUUGAGUUUAUGUUUGUGUUUCAUUUGUAGUCGGAUGAUGCUCUUGUGUAUGAUGUUGUUGUAUUCGUGUGGCAUUGUAUGCCUCUUGUAUGUAUCCCCAACUAUUAUGUAAUGGUACGAUGUAAUGAUAUCCACCUUGCAAAAGUGUCUCCAAUAUGCGCUUCUAUCCUUGGUGGGACCUUCGAGUUCCUUUAGGAUAGGGUCGCAUAUUGGGCAUGACACCUUGGAUGUCUUCUCUACUAUCCUAUGUAUGAGCUCAUGAAGGAAGAAGUAGCAAAUGGGUGGAGGAAGUGGGAUCUCAGAUGCGGUGGACACAUUUCUUGGUGUGAGAAAAAGGGAUGGAUCAGCGAGCCAUGGCGACCUCGAACGGAACUAUAGGUGGUCAAGGAACUGCGAAAGAAGUGGGCAGCAAGGGAACAGGAGGCAACGUCCGGAAAAACACCGAACAAGAGGGUGGUGUAGGCGGUGGUGUGGUCUUUGAAGGAGGAGCGGGCGAGGAUGUUUGCGUUUGGAAUGCCAUCACACUGGACCAUGUGCUUGUGUGGACGGAGGUAGAGGCGGAGUCCUCAUUCCGAAUCCAACGGGGCAGAUGGAAGGACUUGGGGAUGCAAGCUCCUCCUUCCUAAAUCCAAAUCUCACCGGAGCCCGACCAUUAUGUUCUUCCCCACUAGAGUCGAGAAAUUUUCUCUCUCGCACUCAAUUAUUCCAAGGCUCAAAAAGUCAAAUACAUUCACGUUGUAAGGGCAUAUUUAUUCCCAAUAUGUUUUGGUGAUUGAUGACAAUGCUUGUGCGGACUAAUCGUGUGCGUUAGUUCUUUCAGAGAUUCAUCCAUUGGCACGAGACGAUUUCCUCCCCUCGGUGUUGUAAUUCAAGACGGUGUAGCUCCUUCCUUUCAUUGUUGGUGGACUAGCUUCGUAGGAGUCAUCGUACUAUCAAGAGGGGAUCCAUUUUGGUAAGACUUGGGUGGAAUCACACGUACACAUCAUUAUCACACCCAUCGUCUUUCCUUCCGCAUCUCUGGAGCUGCUGUUUUCCCCUUACUAUGCUCUGCUUUGCCCUAGCGGUAGUACCGUGUCCACAUCGGUAGUACCGUCGAAAACUCCACAGCGGUAGUACCGCUCCAAGCGGUAGCACCGCUCUCAGAGCGGUAGUACCGCUUGGGUGUUUCGACCGUAGUACCGUUGUGCGUCUGGGCUACUUCCGCCUUGAUUCUCGAACGAAUUUUUCGUGUCGGGUUUUGCGGCACUAAGGGAGGUAGUAGGGGCGGUAGUACCGCUCUAAGCGGUAGUACCGCCCUUCCCUAGUGGUAGUACCACCCUGGCGACAGGGCCCUGGGCAGCGCGGCAGUACCGCUGGGUCUAAGAGGUAGUACCACCCUGAGCGGUAGUACCGCUCUUCCCUGGCGGUAGUACCGCCCUGGAGUCAGGGCCCCACGCAGCGCGGCAGUACCGCUGGGUGGAGCGGUAGUACCGCCCUUCCCCAGCGGUAGUACAGCUCUGUGCGGGGCUGGUAAUUGGGAUAACGGUUGGAUUGUUCUUCCCACUAUAUAAAGGGGUCUUCUUCCCCAAAGUUGACUCACCUCUUUCCCCAAAAGCUCCAUUGUUGCUCCAAGCUCCAUUUUCGCCCGAUCUCUCUCCCUAGCCAAUCAAACUUGUUGAUUUGCUCGGGAUUGGUUGAGAAGGCCCAGAUCUACACUUCCACCAAGAGAAAUUUGAUUCCCCCACUUAUCCCUAGCGUAUCUUGUUACUCUUGGGUGUUGAGCACCCUAGACGGUUGAGGUCACCUCGAAGCCAUACUCCAUUGUGGUGAAGCUUCGUGGUGUUGUUGGGAGCCUCCAAUUGUUGUGGAGAUUGCCCCAAUCUUGUUUGUAAAGGUCCGGUUGCCGCCUUCAAGGGCUCCAAUAGUGGAAUCACGGCAUCUCGCAUUGUGUGAGGGCAUGAGGAGAUUACGGUGGCCCUAGUGGCUUCUUGGGGAGCAUUGUGCCUCCACACCGCUCUAACAGAGACGUACUUCCCCUUAAAAGGAAGGAACUUCGGUAACACAUCCUCGUCUCCACCGGCUCCACUCUUGGUUAUCUCGUCCCUUUACUUUUGCAAGCUUACUUGAUUUAUAUCCAUUGCUUGCUUGCGUGCUUAUUUUCUAUGCAUCAUAUAGGUUGUCCACGUAGUUGCACAUCUAGACAACCUAUUUCAUUGCAAGUUUUAAUUUGUUAAAGAAAAGUCAAAAAAAUUGUUAGUUGCCUAUUCACCCCCCCCCCCUCUAGUCAACCAUAUCGAUCCUUUCAAUUGGUAUCAGAGCCUCGUCUCUUUAUUAAGGACUUUUCCAUCCGAAGAGUAUGGUUGACACCAACGACGGUGUGGAGGAGCACUCCGGUGUGAAUCCCGUCUCGUCUUCGGCCAAAGGGGGAACCUCGGUCUCUCGUGAGGAAUUCAAUGUGGCUUUAGACACAUUGAAAACCUCCAUGACGGCUGAGGUUAAAAGCAUGUUUACUGAAUUCCUAGAGGGACUCAAACUAUCUACCUCGCCGAUGAAAGUGGGUGAUCCCACUAACAAGGUGACGGAUGCUAACCCCGACAAGGGGGAAGCUAAUAGUGAAAAGAGUCCGUCUACUAGUGGUAGAAAUGGCACCGGCAUCUAUGCCCAUGUGGAACCCCCGGUGUAUAAAGGACCUAUCCCCUCUACGCAUUUGAAUCAUGCCGGUCCUCCUCCUAAAUAUGUGAAAAAUGAAGAUUAUGAUUCUUUGGUUUAUCGCUUCAAGCGUCACUUAAAACAUGUGAAUACUAACCUUUGGAGAAUUAUUGAAGAAGGUUUCUAUCCUCAUGAUCCAAGCAACUUCACCCCUCGAGAAGAAGUGGACAACCAAUUCAAUGAGAGUGCUCUCUUCAUCAUCCAAGAUGCUAUCCUUCCUGAAGAUCUCCCUCAUCUUUGACCUCAUGUCAUGGCUAAAGAAGCAUGGAAGUGUGUUGAGCGUAUGUAUCAAGGAAGUGCUAGCAUUCAACGCUCCAACUAUGAAGUGGUGCAAGAUGAAGCCGAUGAGUUUGCAAUGAAAGAAGAUGAAGAACCUCGUGAGCUCUUUCAAAGAGUGACCAAACUUGCGGUCGCACUCCGAGAUCAUGGGAGUAAGGACACGGAUGACAACUGGAUCAAGCGCAAGUUCCUCAAGGACAUGAUGCCCUACAACAAGGCCAUGUCCUCCAUCAUCCGCCAAAGACCGGACUUCCACUCCAUGACCUCUGGUGAAGUGUUGGAUGAGUUUGUUGCAAUGAACAUCUUGGAUAAGACCGCCGACAAUGUGGUGCUCCGUUCCCAAAGGGCAAAGAAGCCCAAUCUUGCCUUGAAGGCCAAGGUUAGUGUGGAAGAAGAAGAAGAAGAGGAAGAUGAGGAGAGCAACCCCGAGGACACGAAGUAUGAUUAUCAUGAGCACAUGGCUCUUUCCUCAAGACAGUUUUGGAGUAAGAAGACUACAAGACCCAACUUCAACAAGAACAACUCAAGUGGCCUCAAAGGGAAGCAACGAGUUAGAACUUGUUUCAACUGUGGCAAUGUCAGACAUUUCGUUGCGGAUUGUCCAUACGAGAAGCGGGAAGACAAUGGUGGCAAGUUCAUUCGAAAAAACAAAGCCAAGUCCUUCCCCAACAAGAACAACUUCACUAAGAAGACUCCUUCUCGCGGGUUGGUGGUUCAAGAAGAAUACCGUGAGGAUGACGAUGAUGAUGAAGAUGGUGAAACAAUGGCCAUGGCAUCCGUUGCCAUUGUCUCAACUCCUCGGGUGUCUCUCUUCGAUGCACCUAACGAGAACAUCACCGCCAAGUGCCUCAUGGCUAAGGCCACCAACAAGGUAACCCCCAACAUCAAAACCACCAUUAUUCCUAACCCUCCUUCAACGGAUGACUUUGAUAAUGGUAAGGGGUCUAAUGAGGAGAUCAAUGAAUUUGAGUCCUUCAUGAUUAAGCUCAAGGGCAAAUCCAAGAAGCAUUUCGUUGCUCUCUUGGAACAACUUGGUGAAGCCAAUGACAUGAUCGAGGCUCAUGAAGAAACCAUCACUAAGAUGGAAAGUCAUAGUCGUGACUAUGCCGACGAGAUAUCGGAUCUCUCUAAUGCUCUUGAGGAAGAGCGUGAGCAUCGUUUGGCUCUUGAGGAGUCACACAACGAUGGUCAUGCUAAACUAAAGAAAGAUCUUGAUCAUGCUCUUGUUGUGUCUCGUGUUCUAGCUUCCGAGAAGGCUAAACUUGGGGUUGAUCAUGUUAGAAUCACGGAGGAGUUUGAUGUACUUGACAAGGUCCACAAGGUCUUGAAAAGUGCUCAUGCCACCCUCAAGGAGUCUCAUGCUCAACUCCAAGUUAAGCUAACUAAGGAAAAGGCCACAUUUCCUCACAUGGUCUUAAUUGAUAAUGCAAAUGCUACUAACCCAUGUUGUGAGCAUGUCCAUCUUGUGGAGGAAAAUGCCAAGUUGAAGGAACAACUCGAGAAAGGUCUUGUGUCAUGCAUACAAGGUGAGAAGAACCUAAAUGACCUUUUGAGCAAUCAAAAGGAAGUUGUGGGAAAGGAGGGAGUUGGGUUCACACCCAAGUCCAAGAACAAGAAGAAGAACAAGGAGAAGAAGAGCAAGACCAAUCGACCUCCUCCGCUCACGCAAACCUUUGUGAAGGAGGGAGAAGGUGCUCCUAAGGAGAAGAAGAACAAUGGGAAGAGCGGUGAAGCCAAAGAGCGCAACGCCAUCUCUCCCAACAAAGUCGGCGACUUUAACCCCUCUUAUGUGUUGUGCCGUGCUAGUGAUGGACAUGUUUAUGCUAAAUUUGUUGGUUCUCCUUAUGAGUACAUUGAAUGGUCUAUUUGGGUUCCUAAGACCCUUGUUACUAACAUCAAAGGACCCAUUACUCAAUGGGUACCUAAAACCAAGCAUUGAUCUUUUGUAGGUGUUUGCUUCCGGUGGGGGAUCAUGGUUGCUCGAUAGUGGAGCAACAAAUCAUAUGACCGGGAGCAAGGACUUGGUGGUGGACGUGCACAAUAUCCCAUCUAUGCCCACCAAUGUCGAAUGGGGUGAUGCCUCACAUUCUAAGGUAUUGGGUCUUGGCAAGGUUGUCAUUUCUCAUGAUCUAACGAUCGAGAAAGUCAUGCUUGUUGAGUCCCUUGCGUUCAAUUUACUUUCUGUUCGUCAACUCGCACUCAUGGGUUUUGCCACCUUCUUUGAUAUUGAUACCGUGGCCCUCUUGUGGAGCAAGACUCUUAAAGUAGCCUUUGUUGGGCAUGUCGAGAAUGGUCUCUAUGUGGUUAACUUCUCGGAGCAACCCACUAAGACCGCGACAUGCCUAAUGGCUGAAGUUGAUGUGGGAUGGCUUUGGCAUCGCCAUUUAGCCCACGUCAAUAUGAGAUCUUUGCAAAGUCUUCUCAAGGGGGACCAUGUCCAUGGACUAACGAAUGUUAGUUUUGCCAAAGAUCGUGUUUGCAGUGCUUGUAUCGAAGGAAAGCUUCAUGAGACGGCUCACCCUCCCACAACUAUCAUCUACUCGAAGAGACCCUUGGAGAUCCUCCGCAUGGACCUCUUUGGGCCCCCAUCCUUUGAUAGUCUUGGGGGUAGAAAGUACUGCUUGGUGAUAGUGGAUGAUUAUUCAAGAUACACUUGGGUAUACUUCUUCAAGAGGAAGAGUGAGACCCAACAAACCGUCAUCGACUUUGCAAAUGAAGCUCAAUGUCAACAUGAUGCAAAGAUCUUGACAAUAAGAAGUGACAACGGCACCGAGUUCAAGAACUACACCUUGGAUGAGUUUCUUAGUGAUGAAGGGAUCAAGCAUCAAUAUUAUGCACCAUAUACCCCUCAACAAAAUGGUGUUGUGGAGAGAAAGAACCGGACAUUGAUGGAUGCGGCAAGGACCAUGAUGGCGGAGUUCAAGUCUCCAUACAACUUCUGGGCCGAAGCGAUCAACACAGCUUGUCAUGCAUCCAAUCGGCUCUAUCUCCGCAAAGGCUUGAACAAGACUCCGUAUGAGAUACUCACCGGGAACAAGCCCAAUCUCAAGUACUUCCGGGUGUUCGGGUGUAAGUGCUUAAUUCUCAAGAAAGGUGUUCGUUUGUCUAAAUUUGAAGCUAGAGCUCAUGAGGGCAUAUUUGUUGGUUAUGCUACAAACUCUCAUGCUUACCGUGUUCUCAACAAGUCCAACGGACUCAUUGAGGAGACGUGUAACGUAGAGUUUGAUGAAAAUAACGGCUCCCAAGUGGAGCAAAGUGGUACUUGUGAUGUAGGUGAUGAAAUUCCUCCCCAAGCCAUAAGAAGGAUGGGUAUUGGUCAUAUCCUACCCAUUGAGGAACCCCUUGUGGCUGAAGGAGAAGGACAACGCUCCACUCAAGUGGAGCCAUCACCUCCCCAAGACCCACACGCUUCCGAAGAACAAAGUGAAGGCCCUCACCUUCAUGAACAAGACCAAGGGCAAGAUCAACCUCAAGAUGGAGGUGAACCUCUAAAUGAUGCCCAAGGUCAAGUUCUCCCCCUCGAGCAAGCUCAAGACGGCGCUCAAGAUGAUCAAGUUAACCUUCCUCCUUCCACACCCGAGGAAGAAUUAGAGCGUCGUGCUGCGAAGAUUGCUUCCAAACUAACCACACAAGGCCAUCUCAUGGAAAACGUGGUUGGAAGUCUAAGAAAGGGGGUAAGCACUCGUAGACAAUUAGCUAACUAUUGUGAACAUCAUGUGUUUGUCUCUUGUGUUGAACCCCAAAAGGUCUAUGAGGCGCUCGAAGACUCGGGUUGGCUCAAUGCCAUGCAUGAAGAACUUAACAACCUCGAAUACAACAAGGUGUGGAGAUUGGUGCCAAGACCUUCGGGGAACCACAACAUCAUUGGAACAAAGUGGAUCUUCAAGAACAAGCAAGAUGCUCAUGGGAACAUCAUUCGCAACAAGGCAAGAUUGGUAUCACAAGGCUACUCCCAAGUCGAGGGUAUCGACUACGGUGAAACCUUUGCUCCCGUUGCUCGUCUUGAAUCCAUUCGUUUGUUGAUUGCAUAUGCUUCUCAUCACAACUUUAAGUUGCAACAAAUGGAUGUGAAAAGUGCUUUUCUUAAUGGUCCCAUUAAUGAGUUGGUCUAUGUCAAGCAACCCCCCGGGUUCGAGGACCCCUACUUCCCGGAUCAUGUGUAUCAACUCGAUAAGGCACUCUAUGGCCUUAAACAAGCCCCACGUGCGUGGUAUGACCACCUUACCGAGUUGCUACAAGAUCGUGGAUUUGAAGUAGGACAAAUUGAUCCCACUCUUUUUACUAAGAAGGUCAAAGGGGAGUUGUUUGUAUGCCAACUAUAUGUUGAUGACAUUAUCUUUGGUUCUCCUAACAAAGCUUUCAAUGAGGAAUUUGCCGCUCUCAUGACCUCCAAGUUCAAGAUGUCUUCGAUGGGAGAGUUGAAGUUCUUCCUUGGUUUUGACAUCAAACAAAGAAGAGAAGGAACCUUCAUCAACCAAGCCAAAUACACUCAAGACAUGCUUAAAUGGUUCAAGCUAAGCGAUGUCAAGCCGGCUUCUACACCAAUGCCUACCAAGUGCCAACUCGACAUCGAACCCAAUGGUAAAGUGGUGGAUCAAAAGGUAUAUCGCUCCAUGAUUGGCUCCUUGCUUUACCUUUGUGCAUCUAGACCGGAUAUCAUGUUGAGUGUGGGGAUGUGUGCACGGUUUCAAGCCGCACCAAAGGAAAGUCACUAUGUGGCGGUCAAGCGAAUCUUUCGAUAUUUGGCUCAUACCCCAAACUUUGGCUUAUGGUACCCAAGAGGAGCAAAUUUCAAACUUGAAGGGUUUACGGAUUCCGAUUGGGCGGGAGACAAAGUGGAUAGGAAGUCCACUUCCGGAGGGUGCCAGUUCUUGGGUGCUCUUUGGUGAGUUGGUCUUCCAAAAAGCAAAGUUGUGUGUCUCUCUCGUCCACAGAAGCAGAAUAUGUGGCAGCCGGUAGUUGUUGUGCACAACUCUUAUGGAUGAGGCAAACUUUAAAGGAAUAUGGUGUCAUUUGUGACAAAGUGCCUCUUUGGUGUGACAACGAAAGUGCCAUCAAGAUUUCUCUCAACCCGGUGCAACACUUCAAGACGAAGCACAUUGAGAUUCGGUAUCACUUCAUCCGGGAUCACAUUAGGCGAGGAGAGAUCGAGCUCAAGUAUGUCAACACUCAUGAUAACCUUGCAGAUAUUUUCACGAAACCCUUGGAUGAAGCAAGAUUUCGCGAGUUAAGGCAUGAGCUAAAUAUCAUUGAUUCGAGCAAUGUGACUUGAACCCUUGCACACCCCACCCCACUCAACUUGGUAUCUUGCUUAGAUGUAGGCAUGGACAUAGGGGGAGUGUUGUUCUCUCAAUGAACUUCCCUCCCCCCAUUAUGCGUAAAAUGAUCAACUCUUUCACAAUAGUCAUUUUUGAUGGUACUUGUGCUUCAAAGACGAGUUUUGGUCAUGGGCCCAAGGAUAAUUCUUCGCGGUGCCAUACCAAUUGACUCAAACAUAGGUGGCUCCGGCUACCGCCCUCUCCUGAGAGAGGCCAGAGCUUGCUCUGUUUCGUGUGGUUGUUUGUGUUUGAGUUGUUUCUGGUCUGUUGUGUGUGUGUGUGUUGUCGCGUCGGUCCUCUCGUUCUGUUGGAUUUGCCUUCCAUUUCUUUUUGAGCGUUAGCCGUUGGUCUAGAAGCAGCGUGGUUGCUAAAGCGGUACUACCGCCCUCCAGAGCGGUACUACCGCUCCUAGCGGUACUAUCGCCCUCCAGAGCAGUACUACCGCUGUGAGGCACGGGCUGGGGGUUAUAUCGGGGGCAGGGGGAGUUUCUUCUCCCCCAUACCCAUUCGCUCACCCCUUCGCCCCAUUCGUCUCUCUCUUCAGCAACCGGCGCCGCGGGAGGGCUCCGGUGGAUCUCCCUCUCCGGGGCGCUCCUCUCCGUUUUCUUCGGUGGAAUCGAUCCCCACCUUGUCCUCUUGCCAUGGAUGCCGGUAUUGCCCCUGUUCCCUGUUUCCUUUUGUCUAGAUUUCCAAUCUAGCGUUCUUGGGGCAAUAGCAGUUGCAUCUCUAGAUUUUUGUCCAGAUCUAGGCUUGAGUAGGAUGGAGAAUGCUUCUAGACUGUUUGGAUUAGUGUUUGGUUGGAGUAUUUUUGAAUUUGGUAGGACGGUAGUACCGGAUCUGACCACGGUAGUUGGAAACUGUUGUUUCCCCGCCUCAAGCGGUACUACCGCUCUCCCAGAGCGGUACUACCGCUGAGAGCGGUACUACCGCUCUACCAGAGCGGUACUACCGCUUGGAGCGGUACUACCGCUCAAGGGUCACGGUACUACCGCCCUCUACCCAGUUCCAUCAUCCUCCAACCUUUCAGUGAUCUUUUUGUUCGUGUUUGUGGCUUACGCUCGUUCUUUCUGGUUAUUUUGCGUGUUUGUGUGUGUGGUUCCAGGUGAUGAGGUUCCUGAGCAUCAGGCUCGUCGUGUCAACCCCGGUCGUGCUUCGUCCAAGCGCUACCGCACCACUGAGCCCACUGAGCCUGCCGGAGGAUCUUCCAGUGCUCAACCUCCUCCCCAACUGCAGAAGAAGCCUAGGGUCAAGCCAAAGCAAAGCAAAACCGUGCCAGAAAUGCCGCCCAAGGAGUUCUGGGCAAGGUGCCGCCGCAACCCGUAUGAGGUCGACCAAGAUCCCACUUUGGUCAACCGUCCGUUCUGGAACAGGUUCCAGUUUGCCAUCUAUUUUGAUGUCCUCAAAGCCAAGAAGAAUCUCUAUGUCAACGUGCACUCCAUCGACACCGAGCAUAUGGAGAAUGAUCCUGACUACUUUGGUGAAGCUCUUCAGAUGUGCACUCAGCUGAACAUUCUCGGGAUCAUGCAAUUCAACAAGGACUAUGAUGCUGAUAUUGUGGCCCAAUUCUAUGCCACGGUUCACCUUGGGACCGAUGAGGACAGGACUCUGACUUGGAUGACAAAUGGCAAGUUGCUGUCAGUCAAGUGGAAAGCUUUCAUGCAGUUGAUUGGGGUGGAAGAUCUUGGACUUGAGUCUGCUGUCGGCUUUCGUCCCCACCGUCGUGCCAAUGCCACUCACAAGCAAGCUCUAUGGCCCUACUGCACUCUGAGGCUCAACCAUGGGAUGAAGAAGGAGACCUAUGAGCUGCCUGCCUAUCUGGACAUUCUUCACCGUAUCUUCAGAGAAACUCUUUUCCCUCGCAUCGGGAAUCUGGACCAGGUUCACUCUUAUCUCGUGGACAUGCUUCUCUUCUGUCAGCGGGAGAAGGGGCAGAGCACCGGAGAGUCCUUGGAUAUCUCUCAUGUUAUGUGGUCUGAGCUGGUUUCUGCUAUCUCCGAGCGCAAGUGCCCGAUUUAUGGUCCAUUCAUUAUGCUGCUCAUUGAGAAGGCCUGGGAUCGUAUCUAUCCCAAGGUGGUGCUGGAGCUUGGAGACUUGGUUUCUCAUGAUGUCAAGCGUCUGAGGAAGAAGGAUAACUGGGGCACUCAGGCCCCUAGGACUGGAGUUCCUUCAUCUGCUGCUGCCAUGGAGACUGAGGAGGAGUUUGGGGCUGAGGCUGAGGAUGAAGAUGAUGACUACGUGCCUUCUGAGGCAGAGCCCUCUUGGGCCAAGAAGCUCAAGAUCAAGGUGAAGAAGCUGUUCUGCAUGGAAUCUCACGGUCAGUACAUGACUCAUGUGGCUGAGAAGAAGGCUCGAGGUCGCCACAAGGAGCUCAUGCGUCAGAUGGGUGCUAUUGUGAUUAGUGGUUCUGAGGAUCAUCUUACUGAGGAGGAGGAGUGGAUUCAGCAGCACUGCCCCUGGACUGAUUCUGAUGCUGAGCACUUCCCGGCCGACGAUGGCACCGCAGAUGAUCCCUCUGAGAUCUAAUGGGUGUCCAUCGUUUACCUUCACCUGGAGCCGUAGCAUCACUCCCUCUCCUUUUUGGUGUCUCGCUGCCAAAGGGGGAGAGAGUUUAGGGAUUUGCAUCUUGUGUCUUUCGUCGUUUGUGUUUGUGCUUUCGCUUGUCGUCUUAUUUGGUUUGUGUCUGUGAGACCUUAGUUCUGGUUCUGUCAGUAAGACCUAAGCUCGAGUCAUAUGGUGUGAGACAUAUGCUACCUUAUCUCUUCGUAUCUUUAUCUUUGUCUAUCUAGCUUAUGAGUUCCAUGCUUAUCUUUUUAUAUAUAUGUUGCUCUCAUAUCAUGCUUAGGUAGUUGGUCUCUAAAAUGUAGGGGGGGCAUUGUUUCUGGCUUCUGUGCCGUGCAGUCCAAAGCACCUUUCUAAGUACCACACAUCCAGGGGGAGCCCUUCUACAUUUUAGGACAGUUGUACUUUUGCGCUUAUCCUAUAUCUUUCAUAUUGUGCAAAUCCCGUAUUGUCAUCAAUCCACCAAAAAGGGGGAGAUUGUAAGGGCAUAUUUAUUCCCAAUAUGUUUUGGUGAUUGAUGACAAUGCUUGUGCGGACUAAUCGUGUGCGUUAGUUCUUUCAGAUUCAUCCAUUGGCACGAGACGAUUUCCUCCCCUCGGUGUUGUAAUUCAAGACAGUGUAGCUCCUUCGUUUCGUUGUUGGUGGACUAGCUUCGUAGGAGUCACCGUACUAUCAAGAGGGGAUCCGUUUUGGUAAGACUUGGGUGGAAUCACACGUACACAUCAUUAUCACACCCGUCGUCUUUCCUUCCGCAUCUCUGGAGCUGUUGUUUUCCCCUUACUAUGCUCUGCUUUGCCCUAGCGGUAGUACCGCGUCCACAGCGGCAGUACCGCCGAAAACUCCACAGCGGUAGUACCGCUCUCAGAGCAGUAGUACCGCUUGGGUGUUUCGGCCGUAGUACCGCUGUGCGUCUGGGCUACUUCCGCCUCAAUUCUCGAACGAAUUUUUCGUGUCGGGUUUUGCGGCACUAAGGGAGGUAGUAGGGGCGGUAGUACCGCUCUAAGCGGUAGUACCGCCCUUCCCUAGCGGUAGUACCGCCCUGGCGACAGGGCCCUGGGCAGCGCGGCAGUACCGCUGGGUCUAAGCGGUAGUACCUCCCUGAGCGGUAGUACCGCUCUUCCCUGGCGGUAGUACCGCCCUGGAGUCAGGGCCCCAGGCAGCGCGGCAGUACCGCUGGGUGGAGCGGUAGUACCGCCCGGAGCGGUAGUACCGCCCUUCCCCAGCGGUAGUACAGCUCUGUGCGGGGCUGGUAAGUGGGAUAACGGUUGGAUUGUUCUUCCCACUAUAUAAAGGGGUCUUCUUCCCCAAAGUUGACUCACCUCUUUCUCCAAAAGCUCCAUUGUUGCUCCAAGCUCCAUUUUCAUCCGAUCUCUCUCCCUAGCCAAUCAAACUUGUUGAUUUGCUCGGGAUUGGUUGAGAAGGCCCAGAUCUACACUUCCACCAAGAGAAAUUUGAUUCCCCCAUUUAUCCCUAGCGGAUCUUGUUACUCUUGGGUGUUGAGCAUCCUAGACGGUUGAGGUCACCUCGAAGCCAUACUCCAUUGUGGUGAAGCUUCGUGGUGUUGUUGGGAGCCUCCAAUUGUUGUGGAGAUUGCCCCAAUCUUGUUUGUAAAGGUCCGGUUGCCGCCUUCAAGGGCUCCAAUAGUGGAAUCACGGCAUCUCGCAUCGUGUGAGGGCGUGAGGAGAUUACGGUGGCCCUAGUGGCUUCUUGGGGAGCAUUGUGCCUCCACACCGCUCUAACGGAGACGUACUUCCCCUUAAAAGGAAGGAACUUCGGUAACACAUCCUCGUCUCCACCGGCUCCACUCUUGGUUAUCUUGUCCCUUUACUUUUGCAAGCUUACUUGAUUUAUAUCCAUUGCUUGCUUGCGUGCUUAUUGUCUGUGCAUCAUAUAGGUUGUCCACGUAGUUGCACAUCUAGACAACCUAUUUCAUUGCAAAUUUUAAUUUGUUAAAGAAAAGUCAAAAAAAUUGUUAGUUGCCCAUUCACCCCCCCCCCCUCUAGUCAACCAUAUCGAUCCUUUCACACGUCCCCCCAUCAUAGCACUCCAAUCCUUUGAGGGAAAAGUUAGANNNNNNNNNNNNNNNNNNNNNNNNNNNNNNNNNNNNNNNNNNNNNNNNNNNNNNNNNNNNNNNNNNNNNNNNNNNNNNNNNNNNNNNNNNNNNNNNNNNNNNNNNNNNNNNNNNNNNNNNNNNNNNNNNNNNNNNNNNNNNNNNNNNNNNNNNNNNNNNNNNNNNNNNNNNNNNNNNNNNNNNNNNNNNNNNNNNNNNNNNNNNNNNNNNNNNNNNNNNNNNNNNNNNNNNNNNNNNNNNNNNNNNNNNNNNNNNNNNNNNNNNNNNNNNNNNNNNNNNNNNNNNNNNNNNNNNNNNNNNNNNNNNNNNNNNNNNNNNNNNNNNNNNNNNNNNNNNNNNNNNNNNNNNNNNNNNNNNNNNNNNNNNNNNNNNNNNNNNNNNNNNNNNNNNNNNNNNNNNNNNNNNNNNNNNNNNNNNNNNNNNNNNNNNNNNNNNNNNNNNNNNNNNNNNNNNNNNNNNNNNNNNNNNNNNNNNNNNNNNNNNNNNNNNNNNNNNNNNNNNNNNNNNNNNNNNNNNNNNNNNNNNNNNNNNNNNNNNNNNNNNNNNNNNNNNNNNNNNNNNNNNNNNNNNNNNNNNNNNNNNNNNNNNNNNNNNNNNNNNNNNNNNNNNNNNNNNNNNNNNNNNNNNNNNNNNNNNNNNNNNNNNNNNNNNNNNNNNNNNNNNNNNNNNNNNNNNNNNNNNNNNNNNNNNNNNNNNNNNNNNNNNNNNNNNNNNNNNNNNNNNNNNNNNNNNNNNNNNNNNNNNNNNNNNNNNNNNNNNNNAUAUCACACAUGUACACACCAUGACAACUUUAAGGAAAUUUGUAAGACAUGGCAAAAAUUACAAAAACAAAAUUGGUAUUAAUCGCACAGCAACUUUACUUCUUUUUUCCUUUUCUUCAUCAUGGUAUAUUGUAAGACAUGGCAUUUUUUCCUUUUUUUCCCUACACAUAUUGAUGGUCACAUGCCAAUUUUCAAAGAUUUUUUGUCCUAUUCAUAAUUGCAAAUUAUAAAAAUAAUUGUUGGAUUUUUUUUGUACCACCGGCAUUAUAAUUUUAUUUUCCACUGUUAUUGUAAUUGUCAAAACUGCGACUUUCUCCAGAAUUUUUAGUGGUAGAUAGUUUCUUUUUUAAAACAUGUGGUAGUUUUAUUCACUAGAGCAUGACAACUUUUCUUUUGUGAUGUAGCUGUACCUAGAUGGAUUUCACUGGUAAUAGAAUGCGAGUAAUGCUACACUUAUGGGAAGAUUUUACGGAUUGAAUUAACACGAUGAUGUGGUGGUUCAUGGUGAAUAUCACAGGGGUCUACAGUGAAAUCAUGGAAGGUUAGUGUGGAAGAGGACAUGCACAGAAUGCCGACUUAAAUUUCUGUCAUGGGAGAGCACGGAACUACUCCCUCCGUUUCGAUUUACUCGUCGUGGUUAAACCACGACGAGUAAAUCGAAACAGAGGGAGUAGUAGGUAUUAAUCGACUAGGAUCUGAGGAUUUGGAGCAUACACAUUCUGGCCGCCAGCCAGCCCAUCACUAAUGCAGGGGCACCACAACCGCUGGAACCAAUAGUACUAGCCUUGCGUCUACCGUAGUGGUAGUUCUAUACCGUAAUCAUAGUCUGUUGAUCAUUGCCAAAGCAAAGUUAGAAAAGGAGGGGAGUAUUUGCGUGUGUCUGGUGUGGAAUCUAAUCUCGCGUGCAUCCAGGUGGCGCACGACCUCCUGCACUUGGCAUCUCCGUGAUUGUACAGCCUGAUCCAUCUUAACUCGAGGUGAUAAUGAUUGAUGAUGCCCUUGGGAGCAUUAUAAAAGUGGACCUCAAACACCAAGUAGACAAAUGAUGGGCAUACAUAAAGUAGCCAGAACGAAAUAACUUCUUUUAACUGCUGGUAGCAGACAUGUCGCGAGGUUGACAUUGUUUACAGGGUAACGCCUGAAGCCUGACGUGCUGGUUUCCAUGUAAGUAACGCCUGCCUGUCGCGGCAGUUGUGGUUAGAUGCUGUCAACAUGGGAAUGCGAUGAAGCAAACUAUAAUUUACACGUAUCAUCCUUCCUGUUGUGCUCUGGGUGUGCAAGAGCAUGCCGUUCGCAUUGUCCGCGCAUUUGCUAGACGCAGAAGCCACAUCGUUACUUGUCGAGCGCGAUGAUCUCAUACGAGGCCUGAAGCCUGAAGAAAAACACUUGCUCAGUUGGUCAUGUGAAUUCAACAUACAUCAGCAGAGUGGUGAGUAUGUCUCAGUCAAUUUUAGACGUUUGGAGACCCUUGCAAGGGAGGGAAUGUAGAAUCGUUGAAGAAACGAAAUCUGCUGAUAAACUAACAGCUACUCCUACUACUGUGGACCCAUUGAUAUUGAGGUGCGCCUCACCUGAUCAAUAAACAAUACUGUAUGUAGCUAACCCAUCGGUUCAUGUUUAACGUGCAAAUCCACCCCCCUUGGUACCCACAAGUAAGAAAAGAACAGUUACUGCAAUGCAGUGGGAUUAAAUGUGAAAACUUGACAAACGUUUUACAUGUGACGACGGUUAGAAUCGGUCACAGGUAGUAUCUGAAUUUCGAUUUUCUCUGAAACUAACGGCAGCCUGCAGGUUGUUGCCCUGUUGCUGUACUAAAAUAAGCGAACAUCUGAUCAUAUAAACUUCCCUGUCGGCCUUCGUUUUUUUCUUCAGAAGAAAAAACACUUAAUCUGUUCCAACACACGCUGUAUUAUACUAGUGAUAGUAAACAGUUAGAACGUGCCUAUCUUGAUUGUUGCUGAAGAAAUGAGGCGGAAAGCAGACACAGGCUGGAUGCCGCAGCGGUCCGGGAAAGCAUAAUUUAUUAGUUUUCAACCUUGGGGAAGCAUAAUUACAAGCUGUAACAACAGCGCAGCAAUCAUGUACAGUUGGUUAUCUGAAACAAAACAAUUGUUUCUGUUUGUUUAGCUGUUGGAUAGUUAAUCAUUGACAAGAUACUGGAUGAGAUGGGCUACGCCCAGAAGCAUGCUAGCUAGCAUGACGCUGGCUACUCUUAUCUCCAGAUAAAUAUCAUGAUGAUCCGGUGAUACACGCAUAAAUAUUACUUAAACAUUGUGUUUGCUAAUAGCAGCAAAGUCAAGCAUCUAUUCUUUUCCAUGUAUAGGUAUGGCCCGCUUUCAGUUCAGUUGCUAGCCUUGACAGUUGACACUUCCCCCGUUAUUGCACGGCUCUUUCCUGACAUCAGGGAUUCAGAAAUGUUACUGUCGGGCACGUCUGAUUCUCUGCAGUUCUUCUUAACGUUGGGGUCAGGUUCAGGGAUUCAAAAUGUUACUGUCGCGUCUAAUUCUCUGCGAUUCUUAGAAUUGUGAACUGCUAGUCAACGACGGAGGCUCACCACAUUGUAUUUGUCCCUCUCUUUUCCCUUUUGUAACACGGGCACAGGCUUAUCAAAUUAUUCAGGUUAAUUAAGCGGCUUGACGAGAUGAUCGACUGUGUACGAUGUAGCGCCAGAAAAGCACUACAAGACAAGCGCGUGUGCCAUCAAUAGAUGAUUGAUUAGUUCGUCCGCAGAAUCGACAGCUCUCUAACCUACUCAAUGAACGGCAUUCAUCAAGGUU